GUUUCUCGUUACAUGCGGUUGGUACUAGUUCCUGUAGAGGUUAAUAAGGUUGCUCAAACAACAUUAUAAAGAUUUGUAUAUAUUUCAACACAAAACAAAUAUCUGAAGACAUUUGAAUUAUUGAACACAUGUCAACAUGAUAGAACCCCCACACAAAAAGUUGGCAUAAUAAAAGUACAAUACAAUACUUCAAGUACAAUACAUUAUUGCAUCCCUUUCAAUAAAAUCAGCUUCACAAAAAUAAACACUUAACAACAAACCAAGCUAUGACAUUUUCGGAGAUCAUUUUUUAGGAUGAAUGAUCUAGAAAAUGUGAUGAAGUACUAGGAGAGUCUAAUUAAAAUAUGUCAUUUCUAUAUUGGUAUGGAUGUCACUUGCAACAAUAUUGGCAUCAUGUGCAAUACCAGCCAAUCCUCUCCUUGCAAAUCCGACAUUGUAGAGUCCAUUUGCACCUUUCCAGUGGUUGGGGAAGUCUUUUUUGGGUAUGCCUUCACUAUUUAGCAUACUCAUGUCGUUCUGCAUUUAUUAAAAUAUUUUUAUAAGAAUAUUUCAAAAAAUAUGAUACAAUGUUUGGAGAAAAUUUCUAUACUACUAUAUAUAGUGUAUGAGUUUUAAGUUUUUGAAUCUCAACACCAAAAAGCAGUGUGUCAUUCAUAAAGUCCAUGGUAUGGAUCAAAAUGUUGGGAUUUGAAGCUACAGUACGGGAUACAAUAUAGUGAAGAUACUACUGAUUUCUAGAACCAUCGCUAUAUUUUUAGUGUAGAUAAAGUUCACUUGUCAGCUAUAAUAAAUAUAUGCAUGAUGGUCAUGGCACACGUAUUGGUAGCUGGAUCGUGAGAAUUUGUAGUGUGCAUACUAAUCGUGUCAACGAGAAUUGAAAGUUCUGGUGAAGUUUCUUUAAGCUAGUUGUAGUAUAAGAUACUAAUUCUAAGCAUGUAAAGCUUUACAUCCAAAACCGAACGGCUACAACAAUUGACUCGAUGAAGCUUUCCAUGCCAAGGUGCAGUGCUUGAAGCAAGCAAGCUUUGUAUCCGUGAAUUGAGAUUUGACAUGUUGUGCACAUACCUGCGUACUAGUAUGACUAUAAGUUGAAACUGAUUGUCCUUUUAAGCUAGAAAUUUUGUUUGACUUAUUUACCAUCAUACGUUAUUCAUAUUACUAUGAUGUAUAUAUAAAUAAUAAUAAUAAUAAUGGUGUUCUUUGAGAUAAAUUGAAAUGAAUGUCUAUAUACCUUGAGCCAUAUAUUAGCGGUGCUUUUGUAACCUGUGGCAAACACAAUAGCGUCAUAGUACCUCUCAUUCCCAUCUGCAAACUCUAUGAGAUUUCCUCGAAUGCAUGAUAUUGGACCGAAUACCUGCCACACAAAAUAUUUUUAAAUUAAUCUGUUAGAUUCCCCAUAUAGUAUGUAUAUAUUUAUACUUAUAAGCAUGAUUUUCCUCUCACCUUGAUAUCACCUUUUUUACUAGCUUAGUGGUGCCAGUGUCUAUGACAGCAGACCGGCCAGUUUUUGCUUUUAGGGUGAGUGGACCAAUAUUAGGCCUCACAAUACCAUACUUUGAUAAAUCACCUAAUAAGAUAUAUGCGAGGAUCAUAAGAAUAAGAUCUACAAGCUUCAGUGGAAGGUGCCACGUUGAGAGUACCAUUCCUAGGUGGAUCAACUCCUUUGUCAUAACAUGCAACUUCACAAUUACCCAUGUAAGAACUUGUUUAGUACAACGUCAACCAUGAUCUUUCUGAGAAACUAAGAAAACAAUAGAAGUGGGAUCGUGAAAUCUACAUACCGAACUACGGAUAAUGAUGGAAGUGUUAGCUCCAUGCACUGCAAGAUCAUGGGCAAUCUCAAAGCCAGAGUUCCCACAUCCAACAACAAGCACGCUUUUCCCAACAUAAUCAUUUCCGGACUUGUAACUUGAUGAGUGGAUUGUUUCACCAGGAAAGCUUUGUAGGCCAACGAUCUGUGGAACAUAUCCCAUACUAUUUUCACCUGUUGCUACAACCAAGAACUUGGAUGCAUACAUAGUUGGGCCAUCCACCUUGUUAUGUGUCAUGACAACCCAACAUUUCCUCACCUCGUCAUACAUGCAUGACUCAACUAAAGUGUUAAGCUUUGGGGAUAUAUUGAAGUGCUUGACAUAAUCCUCCAUAUACCUUAAAAAUUGAUCUUUGGGAAGGUAGGUCGGCCAAUCAGUUGGGUAUGCCAUGUGGGGUAGCUCACAAAACUCUUUGGCGAUGUGGAGCUUGAGUCAAUCAUAUGUGUAUUUCUGCCAUAACGACAUAAUACAAUCUUCACACUCAGCGGUCACUACUAGAAAAAGGCCUACUAAUGGCGCACCAGUUUUGCCUACUAAUUACUAGUGGCGUGAUACUAAUGGCGCAUCAGUAGUGCGCCAUUAGUAUGCCUAGAGGUGCGCCAUUACUAUCUGACUUAGUAAUGGCGCACCACAUAGAAGUGCGCCAUUAGUAAUAAAAAAAAUUCAAUUUUUUUUCUAUUUUUUUAAAGAAAAUUCAAAGUUUUUUAUUUUUUUCUUAAUCUCGAGUCAAUAUGCUUAAUCUCAGGUCAAAUCGCACUCUGUGGUCAAACUUCCUGGAAGGUCACCCAUCCUCACAGUACUCCAGCCCAAGCACGCUUAACUUCAUAGUUCUAUUCAACCCCAGCACCACCUCACUUCACAGGCACUUGUUGAUAUAUCUAUCAUAUCAAUCCUAUUAAACCUUGCUGAUGUCUAGGACUUUGUUCAUGUUCAUGAGUAUGAUGAAAUUUUGAAAAAAAUAUUUCAAACUUCCCGAUCAUAUUACGUAUCAUAUUUUGAAAAAUAAUUCAAAAAAAAUUCGAAACCAAUUUUUUUUCUGUUACUAGUGGCGCACCUAGCAUACGAUGCGCCACUAGUAAGUUUGAAAUUUUUUGAAUUUUUUUGCCUCCGGAUCUUAAAAGCCCCGUAACUUUUUUUCUGUUAGGUUUUUGGAGAUUUUGAAAAUGUUUAACGUCGGAUGUAACUUUUCGAGUAGAUGAUUUUUCAUAUAGAAAAGUUAUUAAUCCGAGUUCGUAUGCAAAAGUUAUGCCCAUUUUACAAAUAUCAGAGAGAUUUUGCAAAUAAAGUCAAAAUUCAUAUUUGUAAAUUUUCCCAACAACUAGACCACAUAUCACAUGGGAAACUUAUUUUCUUUUAUUUUUUUAACAUUUCCAUCAUUUUCUUUAAAUUUUUUAAACUAAAAAGGCGGUCCACGGGGGGGUGCAUUCGGUGGAAGUUUUGGGCCAAGUUAGUAAUGGUGCACCGUGGGAGUGGUGCGCCAUUACUAGUUAAACUAGUAAUGGCGCACCACACCCACGGUGUGCCAUUACUAGUUUUGAAAAAAAACAAAUUCUGAUUUUUUUUAAAAAACUUAGUAAUGGCGCACCAGUUGAAAAAAAUGAAAAAAAAAAUUUGUUACUAAUGGCGCACCGUGGAUGUGGUGCGCCAUUAGUAUUUGGACACUAAUGGCGCACCAACACAUGGUGCGCCAUUAGUAUAUACUAAUGGCGCACCACAUGUCUGGUGCGCCAUUAGUGUCAUUUCCAUCUAUAGCCCUUUUCCUAGUAGUGGAUGAUAUAUGGUAUAGAGAGUUUGCUUAGGCAUGCUGUUGUGGCAAGCCCAGAAGGACCCGUUCCGACGAUGAAAACUUGUACCUUCUCCAUGGAAAGACUUGAAUAUAGGUGUGCAAUCAAUUUAGUGACACUAUUGUUGAUAUGUGUUUGGGUAACACCUAUAGCUAUUUAUAUAUACUAAUUCAACCUUACUCAUAUUACUUUUAGUGGCUUGUUUCUUUCUUCCUUAGAUGGCUUCUUUCACUUGCUUUUCUCUUUCUUUUAUAGUUAUUGGUCUAGUUGUCUCUAUGUGAGGCAUUGAUAUUUUGCACAUGUUAGCAAACUGCACCUCUCACAAACAAUACUAUAGUUUUGUAAAAUUGAAAAAUAUAUGUUGUUGUUGUCGAUAUAAGCAUACAUUCAAACAUCUGAUUAGUAAGUGCUUUCAAACAAAGAUUUUUAUGUUAAUAAGAUAAUUAUCAAUCACCUUAAAGUUAUUCCAUGAAUUAAUGAAAAGUGCUGGUACAUGAUAUCGAACAAUAUUUUCCAUGUUUUCUAAUUAAUUGUCAAGCAUUUGAUGUGAAGAAUAGUGAAAGCAUUGAAGCGUAAGUAAACAAAAUAACUAAAUUUUUCAAAAGGGUGAUAUAUAAUAUUUUUAAAAUAUAAAAUUAUUGACUUUAUUGGCAUAUAUACAUGCUACUGUAUAAUUAAGUUUCAAGUGAGAUGCUUCUUUUUGUAUCUUGCACUUUGGAAUAGCUAAGUCGAUUGAUAAAAGAAAUACAAAUCAAAAUAUAUAAGAAACACACAUGUCACAAAUACUUGGUGGAUGAGAAUAUCUCCUCAUUUUGCAUGUUCAGCACAACCAAGAAAGUAUGUUGAUUUAGAUAAUUGUACUUUUGUUGUAUGUUGCUCAAUACACUUUUCUAAAAAGUGAUCACUUUAAAAGAUUGUCUUUCUUGAAAGUUAAUGUAAACUAAAGUUUUGGGCUUCCAUGUAUACACAAUUUUAGUUGUUGUUGCUGCUAUUUGCAUGCAUGUAUUAAUUCCUUUAUCAACUUAUGAAGUACAAGUAAGAAACUGAAACCAGGUUGUAAUGUACGAAACUGAAAUAGCAAGAUGUAACGUAUGAAACUGAAAUAGAAAGAUGUAAAGUAUGAAAUUGAACCUGUAAAUACAGACUAUCUAACGAGUACAUGAACAUGUGUAUAUGUAACCAAUAGUGUGCAAAUAUUUGGUUUGUUUGCUGGUUUUAAGAUGUCUAAUAUUACUAUUUACUAUCAACACACGUGUAUGGCUACCCACAAAAUGUGUAUCAAACAGUAACCAGGUGCACCGUGCUUUUGUUUGUGUGUGCGGCUGCAAGCACAUGUUUGUGUAUAGUAGGUAAGGUUAUGGCUUUACUCUCAAUAGAUAGGGUAGAUGAUGAGGGCACCGACCUACACUUUGGAUGGCUUGCUGAGUGAUUGGCCUUCCAUCGCAAGAACGAAGAUCGAUCUAAACAUGUUUAAACUUUUUAGGCCUUUGGUGACUUUUGUACCUAUUGUAAAUACUUUCUACACUUAUUUAUUUAUAUAAUACAUCGUAGAAAAAUUGUUCUAUAGUUCAUGGUUCAAAGAAAGAUCUAAAUGCAUCGGCUCUUCCAUUCUGCUCCUAUCUGUCUAGACUAGCUGGCCUUACAAGCGAACUGUUUUUGUUUCCCGAACCGGUGAGAGCACUGCCUUUUCAUAUAGAAGAAGAAAAUAGAUGGUUUAUUUACAUGGGUGAUAUGGUUUUGGAAGGAACUUGAUGAAAACUCCCUGACACACACUCAUGCAAUUAACCAAUACCCUUGCUGGCUUGCGGCAUAGGAAAAGCCAUCGCCCUCUAGUUGAUAUCCUGAGAAGUCAGGGUCGGCACCUCGAUGUGGUUCAUGCACCUGCCACAAAAGAUGUGAUGGUUCUGCUCUUUCCAGAUGUUCCAAAGGGUGUAUAGAAGCAUCUCAGCCCGUCAUUGCUUAGAUUCCUCGAGUCUGGCACGUUGGAUUUGACCGCCCGGUCCCACGCAAAAAAUUCUUGACCCCUUCCCAUCCCACACUCCACCCCUCCUCCUCCACUCUAUUUUCUCACUCCUAGACCCCGAUGUUUCCAUCACACCAUCUCAGAAAGACAGCCAUAUAGAGUGUGUAAACCAAUGUAUAGAGACUUUCUUGCGAUGUUUCACUCAUGCAUGUCCUCGCCGCUGGAGCUUCUGGGUCCCUCUCACAUAGUUCUGGUAUAACUCCUCACACCAAUUUGCUAUUGAAAUGACUCCUUUCAAAGCUGGUCAUGAGCCUAAGCACUAGGGAAUUACAACAGAUAUAACAUGUUCGGUAUCAUUGUUGCACACAUGGCUCAAAGAGCAUUAGGUCGUCCAAGACUUGCUCCAGCAGCAUCUCCACCGUGCUUGCCAAUACAUGAAGCUCAAUGCUUAGAAGAACCGCUCAUUCCACAAGUUUUCGCUGGCUGACAGUGUCUUCCUGAAGUUGUAACCCUAUUUGCAUACAUCGGUUGCCCCCACGCCAACUAUAAGCUAUUUUCCAAAUUCUAGGGGCAUUAUCCCAUCAUCGAGAAGAUCAACAAUGUGGCCUAUAAACUAAAGCUACCACCACAAGCUUUAGUCCAUCAUGUUUUUCAUGUCCCACAACUCUGACAAGCACUUCUCCCUGGUACGGUUGUUGCUCCUGAACUUCAUAUAUGUUCCAACGAAUUAGAAAUUACCGUGGAAGAACUAUAGUAGUUGAUGUGGCACCAGAAGGAUGGUUCGAUGGUGGAACAAGUCAAGGUGUAGUGGUCUGGCAAUGCAGCAAUGGGCACUAUCUUGGAAGAUCGCGCGAUGCUCCAAGACCGUUUCCCAAAUUUUGCGACCUAGGAUCAUGCCGCAACUCAAUAAGGGGGAUGCUAAUGCCCUUGACCAGGAUGCCCCACUGGCCUCUCCCGCUGAACCCGUGGGAUCAACGAUGCCUCCUACGCCGCCCAAUCCAAUGCCUGAUCUGGCUCCAACGAAUGACCCGUAGGAACAGACGGUCGACAAACAACUGCGCUUCCCAUUGCUAUCCAUGGUCGUUUGGCAACGGGUUCAAAGUCAAAUAUUUCUCCCAAAACGACCUCGAGCCCCACACCGUAGGGCUCAACAUAUGUCGAUAAGCAGAUGGGCAUAAGGUACAUAGAGCGGCGGCGCAUCUCAAUGGAUCCAGGGUGGGUGAAAGACUAUAUGAUAGUUGAGUAUGUGGGCUUGCUGAAAAGCUCUUAUAUUGACUCUUUCCUAUGUUAUGAUAAAUUGCAAUUGCUUCAAUGACUAAGAUUAUAGUUUGUUAGUUUUGAAUGAACUUUAUGAUCCAUACUUGAAAUUGUGAUUGAAUUGUUACUCUAGCAUAAGAGAUCAUAUGACAAGAAUUAUAUAAGUUGUUGUUCUAAGAAUGAUCAUGAUGCCCUCAUGUCCGUAUUUUAUUUUUAUCGACACCUCUAUCUCUAAACAUGUGGACAUAUUUUUCGAUUUCGGCUUUCGCUUGAGGACAAGCGAGGUCUAAGCUUGGGGGAGUUGAUACGUCCAUUUUGCAUCAUGCUUUUAUAUCAACAUUUAUUGCAUUAUGGGAUGUUAUUACACAUUAUGUCACAAUACUUAUGCCUAUUCUCUCUUAUUUUACAAGGUUUACAUAAAGAGGGAGAAUGCCGGCAGCUGGGAUUCUAUGCUGGAAAAGGAGCAAAUAUUGGAGACCUAUUCUACACAGCUCCAAAAGUCCUAAAACUUCACGGAAGUCAUUUUUAGAAUAUAUAAAAAAUACUGAGCGCAAGAAGUUCCAAAGGGGGGCCACACCCUGCCCACGAGGGUGGGGGGCAUGCCCAGAUGCCCAUCUUCUGCUACAUGUAGUAUUUCGAUGAGGAAAAAAUCAUAAGCAAGCUUUCAGGACGAGACUCCGCCGCCACGAGGCGGAACCAAUCUAGGGCUCCGGCGGAGCUGUUCUACCGGGGACACUUCCCUCCGGAAGGGGGAAAUCAUCGCCAUCGUCAUCGCCAAUGAUCCUCUCAUCGGGAGGGGGUCAAUCUCCAUCAACAUCUUCACCAGCACCAUCUCCUGUCUAACCCUAGUUCAUCUCUUGUAUCCAAUUCUUGUCUCCAAGUUUGGGAUUGGUACAUGUGGGUUGCUAGUAGUGUUGAUUGCUCCUUGUAGUUGAUGCUAGUUGGUUUAUUUGGUGGAAGAUCAUAUGUUCCGAUCCUAUAUGCAUAUUAAUACCCCUCUGAUUAUGAGAAUGAAUAUGCUUUGUGAGUAGUUACGUUUGUUCCUGAGGACAUGGGAGAAGUCUUGCUAUUAGUAGUCAUGUGAAUUUGGUAUUCGUUCGAUAUUUUGAUGAGAUGUAUGUUGUCUCUCCUCUAGUGGUGUUAUGUGAACGUCGACUACAUGACACUUCACCAUUAUUUGGGCCUAGAGGAAGGCAUUGGAAAGUAAUAAGUAGAUGAUGGGUUGCUAGAGUGACAGAAGCUUAAACCCUAGUUUAUGCGUUGCUUCGUAAGGGGCUGAUUUGGAUCCACAUGUUUCAUGCUAUGGUUAGGUUUACCUUAAUACUUUUGUUAUAGUUGUGGAUGCUUGCAAUAGAGGUUAAUCAUAAGUGGGAUGCUUGUCCAAGUAAGGACAGCACCCAAGCACCGGUCCACCCACAUACCAAAUUAUCAAAGUACCGAACGUGAAUCAUAUGAUCGUGAUGCAACCUAGCUUGAUGAUAAUUCCCAUGUGUCCUCGGGAGCGCUUUUCUCUGUAUAAGAAUUUGUCCAGGCUUGUCCUUUGCUACAAAAAGGAUUGGGCUACCUUGCUGCACUUUAUUUACUUUUGUUACUUGUUGCUCGUUACAAAUUAUCUUAUCACAAAACAAUCUGUUACCUAUAAUUUCAGUGCUUGCAGAGAAUACCUUGCUGAAAACCGGUUAUCAUUUCUUUCUGCUCCUCGUUGGGUUCGACACUCUUACUUAUCAAAAGGACUAUGACAGAUCCCAUAUACUUGUGGGUCAUCACUAAUACUUGAGAAUAUUCUUUGGCUCCCCUUGUGUCGAAUCAAUAAAUUUGGGUUGAAUACUCUACCCUCGAAAACUGUUGCGAUCCCCUAUACUUGUGGGUUAUCAACUACAUGCACAAAGCCUCUACAAAUAUGUAGGUUGUCAGUGUCACUGCAAACAACAGUUAGUCAGAAAACAGUUGAUCUCUCGUGACAUUAGAAACCACAUACAUACACACCAUCGAUAUAGAUCUUGAUUGAUUUCUCUCUGAAGGAAAUAUGCCCUACAGGCAAUAAUAAAGUUUUUAUUUUAUAUUUCGUUAUUCACGAUAAAGGUUUAUUAUUCAUGCUAGAAUUGUAUUGAUCGGAAACCUAAAUACAUGUGUGAAUACAUAAACAAACACUGUGUCCCUAGUGAGCCUCUACUAGACUAGCUCAUUGAUCAAAGAUGGUUAAGGUUCUGUAACCAUGGACAUGAGUUGUCAUUUGAUAACGGGAUCACAUUAUUAGGAGAAUGAUGUGAUGGAUAAGACCCAUCUGUUAGCUUAGCAUAAUGAUCGUUCAGUUUUACUGAUAUUGCUUUCUUCAUGUCAAAUACAUAUUCCUUCGACUAUGAAAUUAUGCAACUCCCGGAUAUCGGAGGAAUGCCUUAUGUGCUAUCAAACGUCACAACAUAACUGGGUGAUCAUAAAGAUGUUCUACAGGUAUCUCCGAAGGUGUUUGUUGAGUUGACAUAGAUCGAGAUUAGGAUUUGUCACUCCGAGUAUCGGAGAGGUAUCUCUGGGCCCUCUCGGUAAUACACAUCAUAAGCUUGCAAGCAACCAACUAAGGAGUUAGUCAUGAGGUGAUGUAUUAUGGAACGAGUAAACAGACUUGCCGGUAACGAGAUUGAACUAGGUAUGAAGAUACUGACGAUCGAAUCUCGGGCAAGUAACAUACCGAUGGACAAAGAGAAUUACGUAUGUUGUCAUAAUGGUUCGACCAAUAAAGAUCUUCGUAGAAUAUGUAGGAGCCAAUAUGAGCAUCCAGGUUCCGCUAUUGGUUAUUGACCGGAGAGGUGUCUCGAUCAUGUCUAUGUUGGGGAACGUAGUAAUUUCAAAAUUUUCCUACGCACACGCAAGAUCAUGGUGAUGCAUAGCAACGAGAGGGGAGAGUAUCGUCUACAUACCCUCGUAGACCGUAAGCGGAAGCAUUGUGAGAACGCGGUUGAUGUAGUCAUACGUCUUCACGAUCCGACCGAUCCAAGUACCGAACGUACGGCACCUCCGAGUUAAGCACACGUUCAUCUCGGUGACGUCCCACGAACACCGAUCCAGCAGAGCUUCGAGGGAGAAUUCCGUCAGCACGAUGGCGUGAUGACGGUGAUGAUGAUGCUACCGACGCAGGGCUUCGCCUAAGCAUCGCUACGAUACGACCGAGGUGGAUUAUGGUAGAGGGGGGCACCGCACACGUCUAAAAGAUCAACUGAUCAACUUGUGUGUCUAUGGGGUGCCCCCUGGCCACGUAUAUAAAGGAGUGGAGGAGGGGGAGAGGCCGUCCCUCCUAGGCGCGCCCCAAGGGGAGUCCUGCUCCCACUAGGAGUAGAAUUCCCCCCUUCCAUGUAGUAGGAGUAGGAGAGAAGGAAAGGGAAAAGAGACGAGAAGGAAGGAGGUGGCGCCGCCCCUCCCCCUAGUCCAAUUCGGACUCCCCUCUAUCUUUCCCCUAAAGCCCAAUAAGGCCCAUAUAGUCCCCGGCGAAUUCCCGUUACUCUCCGGUACUCCGAAAAAUACCCGAAUCACUCGGAACCUUUCCAAUGUCCGAAUAUAGUCGUCCAAUAUAUCGAUCUUUACAUCUCGACCAUUUUGAGACUCCUCGUCAUGUCCCCGAUCUCAUACGGGACUCCGAACUACCUUUGGUACAUCAAAACACAUAAGCUCAUAUUACCGAUCGUCACCGAACGUUAAGCGUGCGGACCCUACGGGUUCGAGAACUAUGUAGAGAUGACCGAGACUCGUGUCCGGUCAAUAACCAAUAUCGGAACCUAGAUGCUCAUAUUGGUUCCCACAUAUUCUACGAAGAUCUUUAUCGGUCAAACCGCAUAACAACAUAUGUUGUUCCCUUUGUCAUCGGUAUGUUACUUGCCCGAGAUUCGAUCGUCGGUAUCUCAAUACCUAGUUCAAUCUCGUUACCGGCUAGUCUCUUUACUCGUUCUGUAAUACAUCAUCCCGCAACUAACUCAUUAGUUGCAUUGCUUGCAAGGCUUAUUGUCGGUGUCAAAACCGGGGGAUCUCGGGUAGGGGGUCCCGAACUGUGUGUCUAAGGCGGAUGGUAACAGGAGGCAGGGGACACGAUGUUUUACCCAGGUUCGGGCCCUCUUGAUGGAGGUAAAACCCUACGUCCUGCUUGAUAUAUUCUUGAUGAUAUGAGUAUUACAAGAGUUGAUCUACCACGAGAUAGGAGAGGCUAAACCCUAGAAGCUAGCAUAUGGUAUGAUUGUAUGUUGUCCUACGGACUAAAACCCUCCGGUUUAUAUAGACACCGGAGGGGGCUAGGGUUACACAAGGUCGGUUACAAAGGAGGAGAUAUCCAUAUCCGUACUGCCUAGCUUGCCUUCCACGCCAAGUAGAGUCCCAUCCGGACACGAUACGAAGUCUUCAAUCUUGUAUCUUCAUAGUCCAAUAGUCCGGCCAGAGGAUAUAGUCCGGCUGUCCGGAGACCCCCUAAUCCAGGACUCCCUCAGUAGCCCCUGAACCAGGCUUCAAUGACGAUGAGUCUGGAACGCAGUAUUGUCUACGGCAUUGCAAGGCGGGUUCCUCCUCCGAAUACACCAGGAAGAAUUUGAAUAUGAGGAUAGUGUCCGACCCUGCAAAAUAAGUUCCACAUACCACCGUAGAGAGAAUAAUAUUUCCACAAAUAUAAUCUGCUGACACGUUUUGGCAACAUGACAUUAUGCCAUGGCCCGGUGAUUAUUCAAACCAUUUCCUUUAACUAGCCCCGCACAUAACGUGAGGCAGUUUCUUGACACGUCUUGUCAAAGCAGAGAUCGUGUCCCCCUUAUUACGGGAUUCUCAUCAAUAUGGGCGUGGGUAACCCAACCGCGCCAUCGAUUAUGGCGCUUGGGGGAUAAGCGAGUUUUACCAGGCUAGUGGGGGCACAUAUUUUUGGCCGCCCUUAUAAAGGGACAAGGUUUAACCUUUUUCUACCCACGCCUUCUUCCUCCUUGCUCAUCCAUUCUUGCGCACUUGAGCUCCAACGCCCAAAUCCACAUCCUUCCCCUCAACCUUCUCCAAUCAUGUCCGGAGCGGGAGGCAAAUGGAUGGCUUCCACCGUUACGGAGGGACACAUCAAGAAGCUGCGCGGAGCCGGAUACUUAGCCGCGAAUAUCGCGCAUCGGCUCCCUGCUGCGGGGCAGAUCGUUCCUAGCCCUGAACCUCACGAGAGGGUAGUUUUCCUCCACCACUUUCUCCGCGGACUAGGGUUUCCCCUCCAUCCAUUCGUCCGCGGCCUCAUGUUCUACUACGGGCUGGACUUCCAUGAUCUGGCCCCGAACUUCAUCCUCAACAUUUCGGCGUUCAUCGUUGUGUGUGAGGCUUUCCUCCGCAUCCGACCCCACUUCGGCCUGUGGUUAAAGACCUUCAAUAUCAAGCCGAAGGUGGUGGGAGGCCAACAAGCAGAAUGCGGUGGAGCCAUGGUGGGCAAGAUGCCCAAUGUUAUAUGGCUUGAAGGCUCCUUCGUGGAGACCAUAAAGGGGUGGCAAUCGGCGUGGUUCUACAUCACCGAGCCGCGCGACACCAACUGGGUGGCUGCCCCCGAGUUUUGAUCCGGAAUCCCCACGCGGCUCACCUCCUGGAAAGAGAAGGGCAUGUCCUGGGGUUCAUCGAUGGGGCUGGACGGACACCAGAAAUGUAUCCGGAAUAUGGCAGGCAAGAAACUCAAGCUCGUCAACAUAGUCCAGGUCAUGCUCAUCCGCCGGAUCCUCCCGUGUCAACAACGAGAUUUCAACUUGUGGGAGUUCGACCCGGCCCAGCACCAGACUCUGAGCGAGCUCUUCGACAUGAUGCACAAGGACGUCUGGAGGGUGCUGUUCAAGGGCGCCGAGGUCCCUCCCUCUCUCACCGAGGACCGCGGGCUAAGCGCGAAGCGCCUAGCGCAUUCGGUGAGUUCUAUACAUCUGGUAGGAUAUUUAUUUCCCCUAGCUUAACCAAGUGCGGGGUGUGAGCUCCAUGCCUUUAACAGGACUGGGUGGAGAUGUCAGGGCAGAUUAACUGUCCGGCCCCUCUGCCCGAAGACACUACCGACGCUCUCCUGACGGAGAUGCUGACUCCGGCUCCUUACAAGGUGCCGGAGAAGACCAAGAAGGCCAAGGGAACCCGAAAGAGUUCCCGACGCUAGGUGUAAUUGGACUCAUCGUCCGAUAACUCCGCGACGCACUCCUCCCCCGAAGACGAGGAGGAAGAUGAAGAUGCUCCCCCUCCAGUCGGGGGAGACAAGAAAAGGAAGGUCGCCCCAACCGGGGGGUGAAGGGUCCAAGAAGGUAAGGACUCUCCUUCCGGACUACUCCACCACCGCCGCCGAAGGCGAAGACGAGUGGCUGCUCAGGGCCAAGCCCCUGGCGAAGUCAUAAGUAUUCGGAUGCCAGAGUAACUCAUAGCAUACCUUUGUCGCACUACUUCUCCUAACACCGAAUUAUGAUAAUGCAGACCGCCACGAGCCCGUAUUGAUGUAUCAUUGGACGGCUCCCCAGGCUCGUCAGAUAUGGAUAGCGAUCCACUUCUGACCACCACCUCCCCUUGCCCUACGGACAAUGCCGAGGUAUUGUCUCAAGAGGCACCGGGUCGAGGGGAGACAGUCCCGGAGGCGCCUCAAGGCGACCUUCCGGAUUCCGGGAGCAGAGGGAGCAAGGCUCCCGAGGGCUCCGUCAGUCCUCAGCCAAACACCGCGCCAGAACCUCCAGUGGUUCCGGACUCAGGCAGGCGGCCUCCUUCCAAAAGGGGCAAGACGCCUAUGUCGGUGACCUCUGUCCAUCCAGAGGCACCGGACAGUCUGCUGGGAGUGCUUCGCAGCGCUUCCAUCGACGAAGAGCACCGCACUAUUAUGAGUGCGGUGAUCCAGAAGGUUCAGUCCGCCAAGAGCGGACUGACUGAAGCCUGUGCCAGCCUUCUGACAGGCUUUGAGGUAAGUAUUUGAAAUAUAGGAAAAAUAUUACCGCAUAGACAGUAGCCCCUGAUGCUCUGUUCGAUGUUCACAAAGAAAAGCCGAAUAGAGGAUCAAACAAUAUCGCAGGAGUCUAAUAUAAGUAUGUCUAUAUGCGUAUGCAGGCUUCGCUGUUGGCCUCUGCCGCACUGACUGCGGAGGUCGCUGCACUGAAGCAGGACCUUGAAGGGUCCAAGGAAGAGCUCAGCCUUGCCUAGAGGCAGCUCGAGGAGAACAAAGGUAAGUAGUGCCUAGUCUAUGGAUAUAUAUAAAAAGAAUGUGAUUGCAAAAUGACAGGAUCAUCGUAAAUUUGCCAGGGGCCACGACCGAGGUGGCGACCCUGAAGCAAGCGCUAUCCGAGGCCGAAAACAAAGCGGCCAAGGAGCGCACCGAGCGGGAAAGGCAUGAGGCACGGGUGGGCGAGGUGCAGCAAGAGCUCCACGCUCUCGUGACGAAGCACGAGGCGUUGGAGCUUGACUUGAAGACGCGAGAGUCUAAGCUUUCCACGGCCCUUGAGAGUGCAAAGAGUGCCAAGGCUGAAGCCCAAAAGGCCCUCCAGGAGAUUGAUGCGAUGAAGAAGAUAGCGGCGGGUAAGGCAUUCUAUAUGCAAAGCAAGCAUGUGAAAGUGAAUUACUUGUUACUUACCCGAAUCCAGAGCUCUCCAGGAGCAUUCGUAGAUUUGCCCCGCAGCGUGUCGGAUGCCGCACAGUUUUACCAGGCCGAGGAGGGAAGCUCAACGGAGAAGUUGUUCUGGUCUCAGUAUACUGGGACCGAACACCCGAUGCCUCUGAGCGACCAGCUGAAGCAACUGGUCGAGCUUGUUGGAGAUAUGCCCUAGAGGCAAUCAUGUGAUGAUGAUAUUUCUCUAUGUAUUCAUGGGUCCUUGUAUUGUCCUUGAACAUCAUCAAUGAUAUGUAUCAGUAAGUAUGUGACUUGUUUGUGGAACUAUGUAUUGUAUGAUGAUUGUUUUAAUGGUCCCUAGUUGAUAAGGUUAUGCGGACACAUAUCCUUGACUAGUAUACGACUCGGUUGAUGACUAUGUUUCACAAGUCAUGUGCAUGGAGAUGCUAAACCGAUAGUAUGGGCUCGUGGAUGGAGAUCACCGAGCCGGACAGACCCACUUUGAGACGCAGUGAGAUAUAGUCAUCUGUUAGUCUCAAGUGCAAUGUUUAUGCCAUGUCCUAGACCUGAGGUCCUCGCAUGUUCUCGGGAUGAGGAUCGACUCACUUAGGGUCUAUCAAACGAUACUCCGUAACUGGGUAGUUAUAAAGGUAGCUUUCGGGUGAGUCGUGAGACAUGCCGCGAGACAUGGUUGACCAAGAUGGAAUUUUCCCCCCCUAUUUGGAGAGAUAUUCUCUGGGCCCUCUCGAGUGAACAGAUUCGGAAAGCAUGGCCAUACGACUUGGGUUAAGUGUUAACCCAGUUCGGGAAUCUGUAUCAUCGUUUCAAGAAGAGAGGUCGAGCUAACACAAGGGUGACAAGUACUCGCCUUGAGCUCGACAACAAAUAUCAUGAGGCAAAAGGAAUGUUGCAUAUGCCACAUUGUUGAGGUUCGUCAAACGACUUUACGCCCACAUGGGAGUUGGCACGUUCUGCUAGGUUCCGCUACCAACUGUCGACUCUAGUCGUGUCCAUGUGUACGUGAACCUAUAGGGUCGCACACUUAAGGGGCUGCAGCCCAUUCGGAUUGGAUCUCAGUGGAAAAUGGAUGUGGACUCCUAGUGGGCUCAAGUUUUGAGCCCACUCAGAGGUCUAUAUAAAGGGGAGUGGGCGCACCACUUAGGGUUGAUCGAAUUGAACCCUGGUCAACCACCGCCACUUCCCAUGCCCAUGCCGCGCGACCGGACCUAGCAGUCCGCCGCUCGACGCUGCUCCCCGUACGUGUAGAUACCUUGGAGGCAUCGCAUCUGCGGUGCUUGGACGAACCGUUUGAGGGAACCACGAGGUGUCGUUCGUGGGAGAUCACCAUUCACGGUUCUUCGCUGUUCGCGGGAGAUUGGCAACGUGAGGAGGAGACGGCCUGGGAGAUCGGCUACACGCAUCACCAACUCUACUUCCACUGCGGUGACUGCGCGUCUAGUGGUAAACCCGAUCCCGUGAUCUAUUUCCAGCAGCAUGAUCUUGGGUGCACGGUAGAAAAUUUUAUUUGGCGCUAGCGUAGCAUACCGCGUGUUCCAACAGAGCUGCACAAGGCGGUCGAACAGGCCAUGAAGGGCUUUAUAGUCCGGAUGUGGCCUGGCGACGCCCUUCCCAAUAGCUACUUUGGCCUGGUGUGGCGGCUUGUGGAUGCCUACCCACGGCUGGAAGUCAUCAAGUGGUCCGUCUGCAUCGAAGGUGCACGCCGGGCUUUCGCCCGUGUGAAGGUGCAAUGGGCCAAGAUGAACGCCGUGAAGCUGGUGAAGGAAGGGCCGCCGCAGGGCAAGGAGCAUCGCCACCCCAAGAUGUACUAUGAAGGUGUCCUGAAGGGUGCCCGUCUCAUAGCGGACGAGUGUGCAAAAGAUGUAAUAUUUGAAUGAACUUGCUCGUGUAAUCCUGUAUUAUGAAAACUUGUUCAUAUGCACUAUGCAACGCUUGUCUGAAUUUAAAAUAUUACCUUCUGUUCGGCUGUUUAUCAAAUCUGAGAGAUGGCUAGUCGUCGGCUUCUGCCCCCAUGCCACGAGUGCUGGGGUGUUCGGGAUAAACCUGAGCACUCUUGUUCCCAUUGUUGGGUCCUUCGAGGGAGGUGCUCAGCACAAUGAACAAGGCAAUUGGACCAUAAUGCGUUAUCACUCUCACUUAGCCAUAGAAUUCUAUAAUUUUAAAUUUCGGCGAAGCCCCUAGUAUUCGGAAGGCCGAAUUCGGGGCGCGAUACACGCCUUAAGCCGGACAGGGCCGACUCCUCGCUCUAAGCGGCAUAAGUCUUUAGGGACUUGAAACCUCUCGAACAACGACCAGUCUCUCGCCUUAUCAUGACAGUCAGUUUUAGCUUUCUCUAUUGAGGUGCUUAGCCCAGUAGAACCGGGGCACAAUCGCAGUAGUUCUCCUAGUGUUACCUUAGCCGAUAGAGCGGAACGUAAAGUACCAAAACAUGGGAGCCGGGCAAACCCAACUAUUGACCCAAGACAUGAUUCAGAGCUGAUGCAUAUAAUGCUAUAAGUUCGGGGUGCCGCACUAUUGAAAGUGUUCGGACUUCUCACAUCGUAUUAUGGGGUAUGCUUAAGCCCCUAGCGUAUUGGCCGUACCAUAGUGUACGGGUGCUAGAUGUCAUGAAUGAACAUAUAUGUAUAGAAAGGAAGAAUGCAAUAAUAGUCAUAAUGCUAUGCAUUGUUUUAUUCAAAAGGGUGUGUUAAAGCAGAAUUAUACAAGUAGAGCGAUAAGCAAAAAGUAGGACUAUUCGACAUGUCCCUUCCAAGGGCAAGCUGAGGAAUAGUAUUAAAGCAAAUAUUUAACUCGUUAUCGUAAUCCACCUGGGAGUUCCGUGGUGUGACGUAGCUUUCUGCCUCCUUGGUUGCUGCAUCAUAUGUUCGGCAAUCAUGCUUCCGGAUAGGGUUUCCAGAGAUUAAAGUCCUGAAAGAGAAAAAAUAACAAAGCGGGAAGCCCCUAGUGCGGUUUAAGCCGCGUCUUGGGGCGUGCCGUAGUUAUGCCCCCUUCCCCGCCUGUGCCCAUGGUAUUUUUAAUGCGUAAUUAUGUACGCAUGGCACGGAUUUCGCUGUUUGGCUGGGACUUGGGUGGGGGCCGCAUUGCUAUGUGAGCUCGGAACGUGCCAGGCGGUCCAGUUGCCGAUUACUCCGGGCGCGCUUGAAGUUGUCCGGGUCCUUAAUCGCUGAACUAGUGGAUUGCCUGAAGAGGCUGCUUUGUGCUUCUGCUGCGAGGGCCGCAGUGUGCUCCUCCGUGCGGAGAGAGCGCUCAAUGUUUCCAUUGACUGUGAUGACCCCCCGAGGUCCUGGCAUCUUGAUCUUGAGAUAUGCAUAAUGUGGUACCGCAUUGAAUCUUGCGAAUGCGGUUCGCCCGAGCAGUGCAUGGUAGCCACUGCGGAACGGGACUAUGUUGAAGAUUAACUCUUCGCUUCGGAAGUUAUCCGGGGAUCCGAAGACCACUUCCAGUGUGACUAAGCCUGUGCAAUGGGCCUCUACACCUGGUAUGAUGCCUUUAAAGGUCGUUUUGUGGGUUUGAUCCUUGAGGGGUCGAUACCCAUUUUGCGCACUGUGUCCUGAUAAAGCAGGUUCAGGCUGCUGCCGCCAUCCAUAAGGACUCGAGUGAGGUGAAAUCCGUCAAUGAUUGGGUCUAGGACCAGUGCAGCGAAUUCGCCAUGACGGAUACUAGUGGGGUGGUCCCUGCGAUCGAAGGUGAUCGGACAGGAAGACCAUGGGUUGAAUUUUGGGGCGACUGGCUCCAACGCAUAUACGUCCCUGAGCGCACGCUUCCGCUCCCUCUUGGGGAUGUGGGUUGCAUAUAUCAUGUUCACCGUCCGCACUUGUGGGGGGAACCUCUUCUGUCCUCCGGUGUUCGGCUGCCGGGGCUCCACCUCGUCAUUGCUAUGUGACCCCUUAUCUUUGUUUUCGGCAUUUAACUUGCCGGCCUGCUUGAACACCCAACAAUCCCUGUUGGUGUGGUUGGCUGGCUUGUCGGGGGUUCCGUGUAUUUGACACGAGCGAUCGACUAUAUGGUCCAAACUGGACGGGCCCGGAGUGCUUAUUUUGAAUGGCUUUUUCCGCUGACCGGGUUUAGAGCCCUUGAAUCCGGCAUUGACUGUUGUAUCCUCGGUAUUGUCGCUGUUAAUGUGGCGCUUAUGCUUGUUGCGACGUGAUCUGCCAUUGCUAUCCUUGGUAUUCGAAGUACCAUGGUUUUUUGAUAUGUUAUUGCUGCGAGCCAGCCAGCUGUCUUCUCCCGCACAAAAGCGGGUCAUGAGUGUCGUGAGGGCUGCCAUAAAUUUUGGCUUUUCCUGACCAAGGUGCCGGGCUAGCCACUUGUCGCGGAUGUUGUGCUUGAAAGCUGCUAGGGCGUCUGCAUCCGGACAGUCGACGAUUUGAUUUUUCUUUGUUAGGAACCGUGACCAGAAUUGCCUGGCCGAUUCCUCUGGCUGCUGAAUUAUGUGGCUCAAGUCAUCGGCAUCUGGUGGUCGCACAUAAGUUCCCUAAAAGUUGUCGAGGAAUGCGGCUUCCAGAUCUUCCCAACAGCCUAUGGACUCUGCUGGCAAGCUAUUGAGCCAAUGAUGCGAUGGUCCUUUGAGUUUUAGUGGGAGGUAUUUGAUGGCGUGUAGGUCAUCACCGUGGGCCAUGUGGAUGUGCAGGAGGAAAUCCUAUAUCCAUACCACAGGAUCUGUUGUGCCGUCGUAUGAUUCUAUAUUUACGGGUUUGAAACCCUCUGGGAUUUGAUGAUCCAUUACUUCGUCUGUGAAGCAUAAGGGGUGUGCAGCGCCUCUGUACUGGGCUAUAUCGCGACGUAGCUUGAAUGAGUCUUGCCCGCUGUGUUCGGCCCGUUCGGACUUACUUUUACUGUAUCCGGCGUGACGAUUAUCGUCUCGCAUAGUGGCGCGCCCUCAUGAUCCGUAGAUCGGUCUUGCAUGUUUUGCUUUGUCCUCCAGUACGUCUCUCGGGUCUAGCGUAUUUCCCAUGCCUUUUUAUUUGAAUGGCGUCGGGGUGCGGGCUGAGCUUUUGGCUGGAAUGUUUCUCUGUCGCGGCCACGAGGUGGCCGAUCAGCCGCGUCGUACGCCGGGGAUGUAGGUUUUGGUGCUUCCUCCUCCAGUCGGGGUAGCAACCUGCACUUUGGGUAACUCUUGGAGGGGCGUUCGAGUUUAUAUUCCUCGGCCGCCAGGACUUCAGUCCAUCUGUCGGCUAGCAAAUCUUGAUCAGCUUGAAGCUGCUGCUGCUUUUUCUUAAGGCUAUUUGCCGUGGCUAUAACCUGGUGCUUGAAGCGCUCUUGUUCGACGGGAUCCUCCGGCACGACGAAUUCGUCAUCGUCGAGGCUUGCCUCAUCUUCAGAGGGAGGCAUGUAAUUAUCGUCCUCCGCAUCUCCAUCUUCCGCUCUCUCAGGAGGGAUGGCUCCUCCAUCCUUCUGCUCUAAAUCUUGCUGGAGGGGAUUGUUGUUGUCUUCGGCACUGUCCGGAGUGCUAUUAUCUUUGGUGCCGGUAUCAACACUUUUGCCUUGGCGGGACUUAGAGCGGCGCCGCUGACGCCGGCGCUUGGGUUGCUUCUUGGAGGGGUCAUCCUCCAUUGUCUCAUCGCCAUUGCCUUCUUUGGGUGUGUCCACCAUGUAUGUAUCCUAUGAUGAAGUGGCUACCUAGUGCCCUGUGGGCAGUGGUUCCUCUUAGACUCCCGCAUCGUCGUCCAUACCGUCGAUGUCUUCAGAGUCGAAGUCGAGCAUGUCGGUUAAGUCAUCGACAGUGGCUACUAAGUGGGUGGUGGGUGGGCGGCGAAUUUCUUCGUCAUCCGCAUCCCAAUCCUGCCGGACGUAGUUCGGCCAGGCCUCUCCUGACAAGGAGAGAGACCUUAAUGAGUUCAGUAUGUCGCCAAAGGGUGAGUGCUGAAAAAUAUCCACAGAGGUAAACUCCAUGAUCGGCGACCAAUCGGAUUCGACAGGAACGGGCGUAGGCGGUUCGGAGUCCGUGGCCGGAGAAGGAUCCAGCAGUUUGGCAACAUGGCUCUCAUGAAGGGUAAGGUCGAUAUUCGGCUCGAUCGCCGCUGAGGAUACGGCCUCCAUGACGGGGUCCAUCCACCCGUCCAUGGAUGGCGCAACUAGCUCCGAAUUGAGGCUCGGAGCGGCUGCCGGUGCGAUCUCCUGAAUACGGUCCGAUGGUAGAGCUAAAUCGUACUCAUCGUGACCACACGGCGCACAAGGCAGGGGCUCGAAUCCGUCGAAGAUCAAGUCUCUAUGAUAUCGGUCGUGUAGUUUAAGUUUCCAAACCUGACCUGGUGGCCAGGGGCGUAACUUUGGAUCUGCUCCAGAUGGCCAAGUGAGUUGGCCCGAAGUGCGAAGCCGCCGAACACAAAGAUCUGUCCAGGAAGAAAAGUCUCACCCUAGACUGCAUCGCUAUCGAUGAUAGUAGGAGCCAUCAAGCCUAACGGCGACGACACAGAGGAACUCUCAAUGAAAGCACCAAUAUCGGUGUCAAAACCGGCGGAUCUCGGGUAGGGGGUCCCGAACUGUGCGUCUAAGGCGGAUGGUAACAGGAGGCAGGGGACAUGAUGUUUUACCCAGGUUCGGGCCCUCUUGAUGGAGGUAAAACCCUACGUCCUGCUUGAUUUAUUCUUGAUGAUAUGAGUAUUACAAGAGUUGAUCUACCACGAGAUCAGAGAGGCUAAACCCUAGAAGCUAGCCUAUGGUAUGAUUGUAUGUUGUCCUAUGGACUAAAACCCUCCGGUUUAUAUAGACACCGAAGGGGGCUAGGGUUACACAAGGUCGGUUACAAAGGAGGAGAUAUCCAUAUCCGUACUGCCUAGCUUGCCUUCCACGCCAAGUAGAUUCCCAUCCGGACACGAGACGAAGUCUUCAAUCUUGUAUCUUCAUAGUCCAACAGUCCGGCCAGAGGAUAUAGUCUGGCUGUCCGGAGAUCCCCUAAUCCAGGACUCCCUCGCUUAUAGUGAUGUGCAUUACAGAGAGGGUCGGAGUGACAAAUCCUAAUCUCGAUCUAUGCCAACUCAACAAGUACCACCGGAGACACCUAUAGAGCACCUUUAUAAUCACCCAAUUAGGUUGUGACGUUUGGUAGCACACAAAGUGUUCCUCCGGUAUUCGGGAGUUGCAUAAUCUCAUAGUCAGAGGAACAUGUAUAAUUCAUGAAGAAAGCAGUAGCAACAAACUAAACGAUCAUCGUGCUAAGCUAACCGAUUGGUUCAAGUCAAUUACAUCAUUCUCUAAUGAUGUGAUCCCGUUAAUCAAAUGACAACUCAUGUCUAUGGCUAGGAAACUUAACCAUCUUUGAUUCACUGAGCUAGUCAAGUAGAGGCAUACUAGUGACACUCUGUUUGUCUAUGUAUUCACACAUGUACUAAGUUUCCGGUUAAUACAAUUCUAGCAUGAAUAAUAAACAUUUAUCAUGAUAUAAGGAAUAAAUAAUAACUUUAUUAUUUCCUCUAGGGCAUAUUUCCUUCAGUCUCCGACUUGCACUAGAGUCAAUAAUCUAGUUCACAUCUCCAUGUGACUAAUACCCAAAGGGUUUACUAGAGUUAAUAAUCUAGUUCACAUUGCUAUGUGAUUAACACCCAAAGAGUGAUCAUGUUUUGUUUGUGAGAAAAGUUUAGUCUACGGGUCUGCAACAUUCAGAUCCGUAUGUAUUUCGCAAAUUUCUAUGUCUACAAUGCUCUACACGGAGCUACUCUAGCUAAUUGCUCCCACUUUCAAUAUGUAUCCAGAUCGAGACUUAGAGUCAUCUAGAUCGAUGUAAAAAGCUUGCAUCGACGUAACUCUUUACGACGAACUCUUUUAUCACCUUCAUAACCGAGAAAUAUUUGCUUAGUCCUCUAAGGAUAAUUUUUGACCGUUGUCCAGUGAUCUACUCCUAGAUCACUAUUGUACUCCCUUGCCAGAAUCAUGCUAAGGUAUACAAUAGGACUGGUAAACAACAUAACAUACUUUAUAGAACCUAUGACUGAGGCAUAGGGAAUGACUUUUCAUUCUCUUUCUAUUUUCUGUUGUGGUCGGGUUUUGAGUCUUUACUCAACUUCACACCUUGCAACACAGGCAAGAACUCCUUCUUUGACUGUUUCAUUUUGAACUACUUCAAAAUCUUGUCAAGGUAUGUACUCAUUGAAAAAACUUAUCAAGCAUCUUGUUCUAUCUCUAUAGAUCUUGAUGAUCAAUAUGUAAGCAGCUUCAUCAAGGUCUUUCUUGGAAAAACUCUUUUCAAACACUCCUUUAUGCUUUCCAGAAAAUUAUACAUUAUUUCCGAUCAACAAUAUGUCAUUCACAUAUACUUAUCAGAAAUGUUGUAGUGCUCCCACUCACUUUCUUGUAAAUAUAGGCUUCACCGCAAGUCUGUAUAAAACUAUAUGCUUUGAUCACUUUAUCAAAGCAUAUAUUCCAACUCCGAGAUGCUUGCACCAGUCCAUAGAUGGAUCGCUGGAGCUUGCUCACUUUGUUAGCAUCUUUAGUAUCGACAAAACCUUCGGGUUGCAUCAUAUACAACUCUUCUUUAAGAAAUCCAUUAAGGAAUGCAGUUUUGACAUCCAUUUGCCAGAUUUCAUAAAAUGCGGCAACUGCUAACAUGAUUCGGAUAGACUUUUAAGCAUCGAUACGAGUGAGAAAAUCUCAUCGUAGUCAACACCUUGAACUUGUCGAAAACAUUUUGCGACAAUUCGAGCUUUGUAGAUAGUGACACUACUAUCAACGUCCGUCUUCCUAUUGAAGAUCCAUUUAUUCUUAAUGACUUACCGACCAUCGGCAAGUCAAUCAAAGUCCAUACUUUCUCAUACAUGGAUCCCAACUCAGAUUUCAUGGCCUCAAGCCAUUUUGCAGAAUCUGGGCUCAUCAUUGCUUCCUCAUAGUUCGUAGGUUCGUCAUGGUCAAGUAACAUGACCUCCAGAAUAGGAUUACCGUACCACUCUAGUGUGGAUCUCACUCUGGUUAACCUACGAGGUUCGGUAGUAACUUGAUCUGAAGUUACAUGAUCAUCAUCAUUAGCUUCCUCACUUAUUGGUGUAGGAGUCACGGGAACAGAUUUCUAUGAUGAAUUACUUUCCAAUAAUGGAGCAGGUACAGUUACCUCGUCAAGUUCUACUUUCCUCCCACUCACUUCUUUCGAGAGAAACUCCUUCUCUAGAAAGGAUCCAUUCUUAGCAAUGAAGGUCUUGCCUUCGGAUCUGUGAUAGAAGGUGUACCCAACAAUCUCCUUUGGGUAUCCUAUGAAGACACAUUUCUCCGAUUUGGUUUGAGCUUAUCAGGAUGAAACUUUUUCACAUAAGCAUAGCAACCCCAAAUUUUAAGAAACGACAACUUUGGUUUCUUGCCAAACCACGUUCAUAUGGUGUCGUCUCAACGGAUUUAGAUGGUGCCCUAUUUAACGUGAAUGCAGUUGUCUCUAAUGCAUAACCCCAAAACGAUAAUGGUAAAUCGUUAAGAGACAUCAUAGGUUGCACUAUAUCUAAUAAAGUACGGCUACGAUGUUCGGACACACCAUUAUGCUGUGGUGUUCCAGGUGGCAUGAGUUGCGAAACUAUUCCGCAUUGUUUUAAAUGAAGACCAAACUCGUAACUCAAAUAUUCUCCUCCACGAUCAGAUCAUAGAAACUUUAUUUUCUUGUUACGAUGAUUUUCCACUUCACUCCGAAAUUCUUUGAACUUUUCAAAUGUUUUAGAUUUAUGUUUCAUCAAGAAGAUAUACCCAUAUCUUACUCAAAUCAUUUGUGAAGGUCAGCAAAUACCGAUACCUACUGCGAGCCUCAACACUCAUCAGACUGCAUACAUCAGUAUGUAUUAUUUCCAACAAGUCUGUUGCUCACUCCAUUGUUCCGGAGAACGGAGUCUUAGUCAUCUUGCCCAUGAGGCAUGGUUCGCAAUCAUCAACUGAUUCAUAAUCAAGUGAUUCCAAAAGCCCAUCAGCAUGGAUUUUCUUCAUGCGCUUUACACCAAUAUGACCUAAACGGCAGUGCCACAAAUAAGUUGCACUAUCAUUAUUAACUUUGCAUCUUUUGCCUUCAAUAUUAUGAAUAUGUGUAUCACUAUGAUCGAGAUUCAGUAAACUAUUCACCUUGGGUGUAUGACCAUUGAACGUUUUAUUCAUGUAAACAGAACAACAAUUAUUCUCUGACUUUAAAUGAAUAAGCAUAUUGCAAUAAACAUGAUCAAAUCAUAUUCAUGCUUAACGCAAACACCAAAUAACAUUUAUUUAGGUUCAACACUAAUCCCGAAAGUAUAGGGAGUGUGCGAUGAUGAUCAUAUCAAUCUUGGAACAAUUUCCAACACACAUCAUCACUUCACCCUUAACUAGUCUCUGUUCAUUCUGCAACUCCUGUUUCGAGUUACUAAUCUUAGCAACUGAACUAGUAUCAAAUACUGAGGGGUUGCUAUAAACACUAGUAAAGUACACAUCAAUAACAUGUAUAACAAAUAUACCUUUGUUCACUUUGCCAUCCUUCUUAUCCGCCAAAUACUUGGGGCAGUUCUGCUUCCAGUGACCAGUCCCUUUGCAGUAGAAGCACCUAGUCUCAGGCUUAGGUCUGGACUUGGGCUUCUUCACUUGAGCAACAACUUGCUUGCCAUUCUUCUUGAAGUUCCCCUUCUUCCCUUUGCCCUUUUCUUGAAACUAGUGGUCUUGUCAACCAUCAACACUUGAUGCUUUUCUUGAUUUCUACCUUCGUCGAUUUCAGCAUCACGAAGAGCUUGGGAAUCGUUUCCGUUAUCCCUUGCAUAUUAUAGUUCAUCAUGAAGUUCUAGUAAUUUGGUGAUAGUGACUAGAGAACUCUCUCAAUCACUAUCUUAUCUGGAAGAUUAACUCCCACUUGAUUCAAGUGAUUAUAGUACUUAGGCAUUCUGACCACAUGCUCACUAGCUGAGCUAUUCUCCUCCAUCUUGUAGGCAAAGUGUUUGUCAAAGGUCUCAAACCUUUCGACAUGGGCAUGAGUCUGAAAUACUAAUUUCAACUCUUGGAACAUCUCAUAUGCUCUGAUUCUAAGCCGUAAAGCAUGGUGCACUAAACUAUCAAGUAGUCAUCAUAUCAAGCUUGUCAAACGUUCAUAACGCCUGCAUCUUCUCUUGCAAUCAGUCUGUCACCUAGCGGUGCAUCAAGGACAUAAUUCUUCUAUGCAGCAAUGAGGAUAAUCCUCAGAUCACGGAUCCAAUCUGCAUCAUUGCUACUAACAUCUUUCUAAGUUUUCUCUAGGAACAUAUCAAAAAUAAAACCAGGGGAGCUAAACGCGAGCUAUUGAUCUACAACAUAUAUAUGCUAGUACUACCAGGACUAAGUUCAUGAUAAAUUAAAGUUCUAUUAAUCAAAUUACUUAAGAACUCACACUUAGAUAGACAUCCCUCUAAUCAUCUAAGUGAUCACGUGAUCCAUAUCAACUAAACCAUGUCUGAUCAUCACGUGAGAUGGAGUAGUUUUCAAUAGUGAACAUCACUAUGUUGAUCAUAUCUACUAUAUGAUUCACGCUCGACCUUUCGGUCUCAGUGUUCCGAGGCCAUAUCUUCAUAUGCUAGGCUUGUUAAGUUUAACCCGAGUAUUUCUGCGUGUGCAAAACUGGCUUACACCCGUUGUAUAUGAACGUAGAGCUUAUCACACCUGAUCAUCACGUGGUGUCUCGGCACGACGAACUUUGGCAACAGUGCAUACUCAGGGAGAACACUUGUACCUUGAAAUUUAGUGAGAGAUCAUCUUAUAAUGCUACCGUCAAUCAAAGCAGAAUAAGAUGCAUAAAAGAUAAACAUCACAUGCAAUCAAUAUAAAUGAAAUGAUAUGGCCAUCAUCAUCUUGUGCCUUUGAUCUCCAUCUCCAAAGCACCGCCAUGAUCACCAUCGUCACCAGCGCGACACCUUGAUGUCCAUCGUAGCAUCGUUGUCGUCUCACCAACUAUUGCUUCUACGACUAUCGCUACCGCUUAGUGAUAAAGUAAAGCAAUUACAGGGCGAUUGCAUUGCAUACAAUAAAGCGACAACCAUAUGGCUCCUGCCAGUUGCCGAUAACACUGUUACAAAACAUGAUCAUCUCAUACAAUAAAAUAUAGCAUCAUGCUUUGACCAUAUCGUAUCACAACAUGCCCUGCAAAAACAAGUUAGACGUCCUCUACUUUGUUGUUGCAAGUUUUACGUGGCUUCUACGGGAUGAGCAAGAACCGUUCUUACCUACGCAUCAAAACCACAACGAUAUUUCGUCAAGUUAGUGAUGUUUUAACCUUCAACAAGGACCGGCCGUAGUCACACUCGGUUCAACUAAAGUUGAAGAAACUGACACCCGCCAGCCACCUGUGUGCGAAGCAUGUUGGUAGAACCAGUCUCGCGUAAGCGUACGCGUAAUGUCGGUCCGGGCCGCUUCAUCCAACAAUACCGUCGAACCAAAGUAUGACAUGCUGGUAAGCAGUAUGACUUGUAUCGCCCACAACUCACUUGUGUUCUACUCGUGCAUAUAACAUCUAUGCAUAAAACUGGCUCGGAUGCCACUGUUGGGGAACGUAGUAAUUUCAAAAUUUUCCUACGCACACGCAAGAUCAUGGUGAUGAAUAGCAACAAGAGGGGAGAGUAUCGUCUACGUACCCUUGUAGACCAUAAGCGGAAGCGUUAUGAGAACGCGAUUGAUGUAGUCGUACGUCUUCACGAUCCGACCGAUCCAAGUACCGAACGUACGGCACCUCCGAGCUCAGCACAUGUUCUGCUCGGUGACGUCCCACGAACUCCGAUCCAGCAGAGCUUCGAGGGAGAGUUCUGUCAGCAUGACAGUGAUGAUGAUGCUACCGACGCAGGGCUUCGCCUAAGCACCGAUACGAUACGACCGAGGUGGAUUAUGGUGGAGGGGGCACCGCACACGGCUAAAAGAUCAACUGAUCAACUUGUGUGUCUAUGGGGUGCCCCCUGGCCACGUAUAUAAAGGAGUGGAGAAGGGGGAGAGGCCAGCCCUCCUAGGCGCACCCCAAGGGGAGUCCUACUCCCAUCGGGAGUAGGAUUCCCCCCCCCCCCUCCAUGUAGUAGGAGUAGGAGAGAAGGAAAGGGAAAAGAGAAGAGAAGGAAAGAGGGGGGGCCGCCCCUCCCCCUAGUCCAAUUCGGACUAAGCCUUGGGGGGGCGCGCGGCCUCCCCUCUCUCUUUCUCCUAAAGCCCAAUAAGGCCCAUAUACUCCCUGGUGAAUUCCCGUAACUCUCUGGUAAUCCGAAAAAUACCCGAAUCACUCGGAACCUUUCCGAUGUCUGAAUAUAGUCGUCUAAUAUAUCGAUCUUUAUAUAUCGACCAUUUUGAGAUUCCUCGUCAUGUCCCCGAUCUCAUCCGGGACUCCAAACUACCUUCGGUAUAUCAAAACACAUAAGCUCAUAUUAACGAUCGUCACCGAACGUUAAGCAUGCGGACCCUAUGGGUUCGAGAACUAUGUAGACAUGACCGAGACUCGUCUCUGCUCAAUAACCAAUAGCGGAACCUAGAUGCUCAUAUUGGUUCCUACAUAUUCUACGAAGAUCUUUAUCGGUCAAACCGCAUAACAACAUAUGUUGUUCCCUUUGUCAUCGAUAUGUUAUUUGCCCGAGAUUCGAUCGUCGGUAUCUCAAUAACUAGUUCAAUCUCGUUAUCGGCAAGUCUCUUUACUCGUUCCGUAAUACAUCAUCCCGCAACUAACUCAUUAGUUGCAUUGCUUGCAAGGCUUAUAGUGAUGUGCAUUACCGAGAGGGCCCAAAGAUACCUCUCCGACAAUCGGAGUGACAAAUCCUAAUCUCGAUCUAUGCCAACUCAACAAGUACCAUCAAAGAAACCUGUAGAGCACCUUUAUAAUCACCCAGUUAUGUUGUGAUGUUUGGUAGCACACAAAGUGUUCCUCUGGUAUUCAGGAGUUGCAUAAUCUCAUAGUCAGAGGAACAUGUCUAAGUCAUGAAGAAAGCAGUAGUAACAAACUAAACGAUCAUCCUGCUAAGCUAAUGGAAUGGGUCGAGUCAAUCACAUCAUUCUCUAAUGAUGUGAUCCCGUUAAUCAAAUGACAACUAAUGUCUAUGGCUAGGAAACUUAACCAUCUUUGAUUCAACGAGCUAGUCAAGUAGAGGCAUACAAGUGACACUCUGUUUGUCUAUGUAUUCACACAUGUACUAAGUUUCCAGUUAAAACAAUUCUAGCAUGAAUAAUAAACAUUUAUCAUGAUAUAAGGAAAUAAAUAAUAACUUUAUUAUUGUCUCUAGGGCAUAUUUCCUUCAGUCUACAUAGUUCUCGAACCCGUAGGGUCCGCACGCUUAACGUUCAUUUACGAUAUAGUAUUAUAUGAGUUAUGUGAUUUGGUGACCGAAUGUUGUUCUAAGUCUCGGAUGAGACCAAGAACAUGACGAGGAGUCUCGAAAUGGUCGAGAGGUAAAGAUUGAUAUAUAUAGGACGAUGGUAUUCGGACACCAGAAGUGUUCCGGAGGGUACCGGGUAGUUGCACCCCUACAAAGGCCAGCCCUAUGAGGAGGAGAAGGAAAGAGGGGAGGGCAAGGAAAGUGUGGAUUAGGAUUCCGACUUCCUUCCCUCCCCCCCCCCUCUUUUCUUCCCCCUCGGUUAUAUAUGGCAGGGGGCGCGCGCGGCUUGGGAGGGACUCCAAGUAGGAUUCCUCCUACUUGGGCGCCUCCUAUGGCUGCUCCUCCCUCCCUCCCGCCUAUAUAUAUGUGGAGAGGGGGCGCCUAGCACAGACCAGACAACUGCCUAGCCGUGUGCGGCGCCCCCCUCAUAGUUUACACCCCCGGUCAUAUUUUCGCGGUGCUUAGGCGAAGCCCUGCGAGGAUCACUUCACCAUCACCGUCACCACACCAUCGUGCUGACGGUACUCAUCUACUACCUCGACGUCUUGCUGGAUCAAGAAGGCGAGGGACGUCACCGAGCUGAAGGUGUGCAGAACUCGAAGAUGUUGUACGUUCGGUACUCGAACAGUGGAGCGCGAAGAAAGUUCUACUACAUCAACCGCGUUGUGAAACGCUUCCGCUUACGGUCUACUAGGGUACGUAGACACACUCUUCCCCCUCGUUGCUAUGCAUCUCCAUGGAUAGAUCAUUGCAUGUGCGUAGAAAAUUUUUGUUUUCCAUGCAACGUUCCCCAACACUAUCAUCUCGGCCGGCCAUGAGGAGCUUUGUGCACAUGCCAGCCACGGUAGAGGCGCUGCUAGGCCACCCGGUGGCAGCCCUGUCGGAGAGGCCAGUGUCGCAUCUAACACGGCUACUGGUGAACGUGACGGUGGAGCAGAGCCUAUGGCCGGUGCAUGUGCUGAUGGCCACCGACGCCACCGUUGCCGACAUCCCUUGUGUUGCCGUCAUUGUUAGCCCAAACUACUGUGAUAGUGGUGUACUAUGGGUGGUAGAGGUUCUACCUUAUAUGUGGUAGGGGUCCUGGUUUGGACUACAGGGGUAUUUUAUGAGUGGUAGAUUACAACGAAGGGAUUACAAGUCCUUUUAUAGGAAAAAUGAAGCCGCAGUUCAUACUAUAAUGAUAUGUGCUCUUAAUUACCAGAUGACUUGCAUUUGUUUGUGAUGUUUUGUUUCUUCCGAUUCUAAUGAGGUAAGGUCACACACGGUAGGUUUACAACAUUCAGCAUGACAGAUAGGAAUGCAAUCUCUGUACCUGUCAUGGUACUAGUGACAGAAGCUAUCAUUUCAAUUUCAGUACUAGCUGGGCAGAUGAUGUUGUGUACCGCCGUGUGCGUGGACUGUCUAGCCGUGCACAAAAAAAGGUUGUUUCCAAACGGCAGCCACUCUGCUCAAAAUGGAUUACAAAAUAGGAGAAGAAUCGACACUGCACUUGAACCAACAAAGCUACUCAAAGCCUAACGUUGGAGACGCCUCACGGUAUGCUGCAAACUGAAGGCAAGGAGCACAAUUCUGGACAAGGGGAGUGGUCAAACCAGAAGAAAUAUUUUCUUUAAGCUAGGUAAUGAUAGAAACAUGUGUUUCAAUAGUACAAUACCACCUUUUUCUAAGAAGUAUUAUUGUAAUUCUUUAUUAAUAUUACUUUGAAUGUAGUUUCAAAUAAAAUUAUGCAACAGAGCUCAUAUCAGACAAGGCUCGGAACAAAAAACAUGGGUGAUAUGUAGACUUAUAGACUAUCACAGAAUUUCUUGAAACCGGCCAUGUAGCUCAUAUUCCACGGAAAACUGAGAUACUUCCCAAGAUGACCUCGUGUUAUCAUAGGGAAAGUACCAAACAAUAUGGUGAUUAGUUUCUUCUUACUUCUCUUUGGGUAUUUUGAGGAGAAUUUUUAUGGUGAGUGCAACAAAAUAGGUUGUCUCUAAAUAAAUCCACUCUUAUGAGUUACUAGUUUGUUGUUUCUCAUUAUGUGCGGUUGGUACUAGUUCCUCUAGAGGUUAAUAAGCUUCGUCAAACAACAUUAUUAAGAUUUUGCAUAUAUUUGAAUCAACACAGAACAAAUCUCUGAAGACAUUUGAAUUAGUGAACACAUGUCAACAUGAUAGCAGCCCCACACAAGAAGUUGGCAUAAUAAAAGUACAAUACAAUACUUCAAGCAUAAUACAUUACUGCGUCCCUUUCAAUAAAAUCAACUUCACCCAAAUAAACACUUAACAACAAACCAAGCUAUGACAUUUUCAAAGAUCAUUUUUCAAGAUGAAUGAUCUAGAAAAUGUGAUGAAGUACUAGGAGAGCCUAAUUAAAAUAUGCCAUUUCCAUGUUGGCAUGGAUGUCACUUGCAACGAUAUUGGCAUCAUGUGCAAUACCGACCAAUCCCCUCCUUCCAAAUCCGAUGCAAUAGAGUCCAUUUGCACCUUUCCAAUGGUUGGGGAAGUCAUUUCUGGGUAUGCCAUCACUACUUAGCAUACUCAUGUCGUUCUACAUUUAUAAAAAUAUUUUAUAAGAUUAUUUUUAAAAAUGUUAUACAAUGUUUGGAGAAAAUUUCUAUACUACUAUAUAUAGUGUACAAGUUUAAAACUUUUGAAUCUCACCACAAAAAAGCAUUGACGGAGUCCAUGGUAUGGCUCAAAAUGAUGGGAUUUGCAGCUACAGUACGGGCUACAAUUCCAGCAAAGGUACUACUGAUUUCUAGAACCAUCACUAUAUGCCAAUGUAGGUAAAGUUCACUCGUCAAUUGUAAUCCAUUCAUGCAUGUAGCUGGUCAUGGCACACACACUGGUAGACAGAGUUGGAAGUUCUGGUGGAGUUUCUUUAAGCUGGUUGUAGUGUAAGAUACUAAUUCUAAGAAUCUAAAGCUUUACAUACAAAACUGAACGGCUACAACAAUGGACUUGAUGAAGCUUUACAUGCCAAGGUGCAGUGCUUGAAGCAAGCAAGCUUUGUAUCCAUGAACCGAAAUGUGCACGUGUUGUGCACAUACCCGUGUACUAGUAUAACUAUAAGUUGAAACCGAUUGUUCCUUUAUGCAAGGAAUUUGGUUGACUUUUACAAUCAUAUGAUAUUCAUAUUCCUAUGAUGUUAUAUAUAAAUAAUAAUAAAUGUCUAUAUACCUUGAGCCACAUAUUAGCAGUGCUUUUGUAACCUGUGGCAAACACAAUGGCGUAAUAGUAUCUCUCAUUCCCAUCCGCAAACUCUACGAGAUUUCCUUGAAUGCAGGAUAUUGGACCGAAUACCUACCAUAAAAAAUAUUUUUAAAUCAAUCUAUCACAUUCGCCAUAUGGUAUGUAUAUAUUUAUAUUUAUAGGCAUGAUUUUGCUCUCACCUUGAUAUCACCAUUUUUUAUUAGCUCAGUGGUGCCGGUGUCUAUGACAGCGGACCGAUCAGUUUUUUGCUUUUAGCGUGAGUGGGCCAAUAUUAGGCCUCACAAUUCCUUACUUUGAUAAAUCACCAAAUAAUACAUAUGCGAGGAUCAUGAGAAUAAAAUCUACAAGCUUCAGUGGAAGGUGCCACGUUGAGAGUACCAUGCCCACAUGGAUCAACUCCUUUGUCAUAACAUGCAACUUCACAAUUACCAAUGUAAGAACAUCUUUAAUAGAAUGUCAACCAAGAUUUUUCUCAGAAAAACAAAGAAAAUAGUAGAAGUGGGAUCGUUAAAUGUAUGUACGUACCGGACUACGGAUAAUGAUGGAAGUGUUAGCUCCGUGCACUGCAAGAUCAUGGGCAAUCUCCAAGCCAGAGUUCCCACAUCCAACAAUAAGCACGCUUUUCCCAACAUAAUCAUUUCCGGACUUGUAACUUGAUGAGUGGAUUGUUUCACCAGGAAAGCUUUGUAGGCCAACGAUCUCUGGAACAUAUCCCACAACAUUUUCACUUGUUGCUAAAACUAAGAACUUGGAUGCAUACAUAAUUGGGACAUCCACUUUGUUAUGCGUCAUCACAACCCAACAUUUCCUCACCUCACCAUACAUGCAUGACUCAGCUGAUGUGUUAAACUUUGGGGAUAUAUUUAAGUGCUUGACAUAAUCCUCCAUAUACCUUUAAAACUGAUCUCUGGAAAGGUAGGUAGGCAAAUCAUUUGGGUAUGCCAUGUGGGGUAGCUCACAAUACUCUUUGGGGAUGUGGAGCUGGAGGCAAUCAUAUGUGUGUCUGUGCCACAAUGACACAAUACAAUCUUCACGCUCAGCGAUGGUAUAUGGUAUAGAGAGUUUGCUUAGGCAUGCUGUCGUGGCAAGCCUAGAUGGACCUGCUCCGACGAUGAAAACUUGUACCUUCUCCAUGGAAAGACUUGAAUAUAGGUGUGCAAUCAAUUUAGUGACACUAUUGUGUUGAAGUUGUCCUUGUUGGUAUGUGUUGGGGUAACACCUAUAGCUAUUUAUAUAUACAAAUAUCAGUCAUUACUAUAUAUUACUUUUAGUGGUUUAUUUUGUUCUUCCUUAGAUGGCUCUUGUUUCUUGCUUCUUUCACUGGCUUGUCUCUUUCUUUUACCGUUAUUUGUCUAGUUGUCACUAUGUGAGGCAUUGGCAUUGUUCUACACAUGUGAGCAAACUGCGCCUCUCAUGGAUAGUGGUAUAGUUCCCUAAAAUUGAUAAAUAUACGUUGUUGUUAAUAUAAGCAUACAUUCAAACAUCCGAUUAGUAAGUGCUUUCAAACAAAGAUUUUUUUAUGUUAAUAAGAUAAUUAACCACCGCCUUGAAGUUAUUCCAUGAAUUAAUGAGUAGUGUUGAACUGUUGAUACAUGAUAUCGAACAAUAUUUUCCAUGUUUUUCUAAUUAAUUGUCAAGUAUUUAAUGUGAAGAAUAGAAAGCAUUGAAUCAUGAGUAAACAAAAGAACUGGAAUUUCACAAAAUGGGAUGAUAUAUAAUGUUUUUAUAGAUCAAUUCAUGCACUAGAUGUGCCUAUGCUGUUAUUUCAAAUAUAAAAUUCUUGACUUUAUUGGCAUGCAUACAUGCUACUAUAUAAUUAAAAUGGUACUUUUGUUGUAUGUUGCUCAAUACAUUUUUCUAAAAAGUGAUCACUUUACGAAGAGAUUGUCUUUCUUGCAAGUUAACGUAAAUUAAACUUUUGGGCUUCCAUGUAUAAACAAUUUUAGCUUUUGUUGUUGCUAUUUGCACGCAUGUAUUAAUUCCUUUAUCAACUUAUGAAGUACAAGUAAGAAACUGAAACGAGGUUGUAAAGUAUGAAACUGAAGUAGCAAGAUGUAAAGUAUGAAACUGAAAUAGCAAGAUGUAAAGUAUGAAGUUGAACCUGUAAAUACGGACUAUCUAAUGAGUACAUGGACAGGUGUUUACGCAGCCUAUAGUGUGCAAAUAUUUGUUGGUAUGCUAGUUUUAAGAUGUCUUUUUUUGCGAGAAAAACUUCCAGCCUAUUCAUCUUCAAUCAUGGUAGUACAACGAACACUAGAAAUAAUAAAAAUUACAUCCAGAUCCGUAGACCACCUAGCGACGACUAAAGCACUGAAGCGAGCCGAAGGCGCACCGCUGUCACCGCCCCUCCCUCGCCAGAGCCGGGCAAACCUUUUUGUAGUACACAGUCAGGAAGUCGUCGUGUUAAGGUCCCAUAAAACCAACGUACCAGAACAGCAACCGCCGCGGAUGAAGAGUGUAGAUCAAAAGGAUCUAACCUGAAAACAUACGAACAAAGACGAAAGAUGAACAGAUCCGAGCAAAUCCACCAAAGAAAGAUCUGCCGGAGACACACCUUCACAUGCCCACCGAUGAUGCUAGAUGCAUCACCAGAAUGCGGGCUAGGCAGGAAAACCUUUAUUCUAUCUUCAGGGAGCCGCCGCCGUCUCGCCUUCCUGAGCAGAACACAAACCCUAACAAAGCUCGAAAAAAGAUCUAAAAACGGAGCCCUCCCACCGGCAGGGGCCGAGAUCCACUCCGCCUCCAUGGCCCUAAGGCCACGGAGACGGGACGGACCAGCGCCGGCGCCGGCGGGAGGUAGAGAACGCUGGCUUUUUUUAGAGGCGGCGGCUAGCUAGGUCGUAGCCACACUAUUCAUUGGUUAGUUUUAAGAUGUCAACUAUUACUAUUUACUAUCAACACACGUGUAUGGUUACCCACAAAAAUGUGUAUAUAAUAGUAACUAGGUGAGUCGUGCUUGUGUGUGUGUGCGUGCGGCUGCGCACGCGUGUUUGUGUGUAGUAGGGUUUUUUUCUAUAAAUGGUGGAUUUUACUUUCAAGAGAUAGGAUAGACGAGGAGGGCACCUACCUACACUUUGGAUGGCUAGUUAAGUGAUUGGCCUUCCAUCACAGGAACGAAGAUCGGUCUAAACAUGUUUUAAGCUUUUUAGGCCUUUGGUGACUUAUGUCACUAUUGUACUUCUGCUGUCACUAUUAUUGUAAAUAUUGUGUACACUUAUUUAUUUAUAUAAUACAUAAUAGAACAUUUUUUCUACAGUUCAUGGUUAAAAAAACAUCGGUCUAAACGCAUCCAAAUGGCUCUUCCAUUCUGCUCCUAUUCCUUUCCCGAACCGACAGGAGCACUGCCUUUUUGUAUAGAAGAAGAAAUAGACGGUUUAUUUACAGGGGUGACAUGUUUUUGGAGGGAACUUGGCGAAAACCCCUGACACACACUCAUUCAAAUUAAUCAAUACCCUUGCUGGCUUGUGGCUUAGGAAAAGCUGCCCUCUCGUUGAUAUCCUCAAAAGUCAGGGCCGCCACCUUGGUGUGGUUCAUGCACGUGCCACAGAAAAUGCGACAGUUCCAAUCUUUCUAGAUGUUCCAAAGGGUAUAUAGACUCAUCCCACUCCGUCGCCGCUUAGAUUCUUCGAGUCUGGCACAUUGUAUCUGACAGCCCGGUUCCACACACACAAAAUUCCGGACCCCUCCCUGUCCCACACUCCACCCCUCCACUCUCUUUUCCAGCUCCUAGACCCCGAUGUUGCCAUCACACCCACCUCAUGCCCCGCCGCCGCUACAACAGAUCUUCCUAGACCCACAGAAUAGUCCAUGUUGGACACCUUCGAGUUAUCGCUACGGCCAACGACUGCCGCCGCCACCGGGCCGAACCCGCAGAGCAUGCAACCGCCAAAAGUGCCGCACCAACAAGAAGGCCUUAGAAUGUCGGGGUAUGAACUUUCCUUGAUUUGCUAACAUGUUGAAUGGUUUGUCAUGCACAAUUCAUCUUCCCAUCAUUUGGAAGUGCUAUAUGUACCAUCGAUUUGCUUUUGGUUGUUGGAAAUUGAUGAAAUUCGAGGCUUAGCGAAAAAAGUAGGCAAAUUUGGGAACGGGGCUAGCGUUAGGUACGCGGAUAAAUGGGCUUGUCUAUUUGGGGUUGGAGAUACCCUAACAGGAGGGAAGUCAAGGUGGUGUGACAUUGUCGCCAUGGAUUCACAUGCAGAUUAGAAACCACUAGUGACAAGAAGAUGCUAAAUAUCAGCUAGUUAUGAUUUGGUGGAAUCGUGAGAGGAGGGACGAGAGUCAUUGGGUUGGUUACACGCAGGUGUUGAGGUGGUGGAUUAUUUACUAUGAGCGGCACGUUGAGUUGAUGCCAAAUCCAGGUUUUCACUAAGGUAAAAAAAUGAGCAUGUUACAUAUAAUCCACACGACACCUACCCUUUUUUGUUGCUAAUAUAAAUAGAAUAGUUUAGUUAAUAAGAAUUUAUAGAAUGGAAUGAUUCAUUAUACUUGUCUGCGCAAACCUGAUACAUUUUGUUGUCACUGUUUAUUGGAGAAAGCACAUCUCACUUUCGGGCUCUAGAGAUACAUCGUUGAUGAUCUUGUGAUUGUGUUGCAAUGGCGUAGGAUUCAAUACCGAUUACCCUUUUAUAUAGAGGUGCAUUCUUCAUCGAUAAGUUUACAAUCUUAAAUACAAUAAAAUACCAUACCAUACUAUCUGAUCUCGCUACCAAACUAGGUGUAUCUUCUAGGUAUGAAUAUGAUAGGAAUAUGAAGUAGUGUACACCAUUAACUCCUCCGAGUACAUACCUUGCUAUGACUAUGUGCCAGGCCGAGAGAUCCUAGGCACGCAUAGGUUCGUAAGGUAUGUUCAUGCCCAUAUGGCACUUCUAACAAAAAAAUACCUACAUUAAAAUGAAUAUCAAAUUUGUACAAUACAAAUACAGGACAUGAUGAUGUAUGUGUGUGGGUAAGAGACUAUGGUUACUACCCGCAUUGUGGGCCUAAACACUGGUACAUCACUCUUGCGUAUUUUAAAUCUCAUUUGGUAUCAUGGGUGUGUUCCUUAUAUCACCCAGAUUACCUCGUACUACCACAUAUAGCCAUUAAUACAUGAUCAGUGUAAAUUAUGAAUCAAUAGCUGGCACCCACAAUGGCGCUAUAUUGAGCUCAUCUAGGCAAAAAAAUCUGAAAUCAAUCUCGCCUAGGAAAAUGCCUUCCGCGGGAUUCUCAAUGAGGUCCUUCACUAUAGCAGCCUUAGAUAUAUUCUUUUGAAACCGGCCAUCCCAGAUUUCUUUUGAAACCGGCCAUGUAGUUCAUGUUCUACGGAAAAGUAACAUGCCUCUCAAGACGACCUCAUGUUAUCAUAGAGAAAGUACUAAACAAUAUGGUGAUUGGUUUCUUCUUACUUCUCCUUGGGUAUUUUGAAGAGAACUUUUGUGGCAAAUACAACAAAAUAGUUUAUCUCUAAAUAAAUCCACUCUUAUGACUUAUGAGUUUGUUGUUUCUCAUUACAUGCGGUUGGUACUAGUUCCUGUAGAGGUUAAUAAGGUUGCUCAAACAACAUUAAAAAGAUUUGUAUAUAUUUCAACACAAAACAAAUAUCUGGAGACAUUUGAAUUAUUGAACACAUGUCAACAUGAUAGAACCCCCACACAAAAAGUUGGCAUAAUAAAAGUGCAAUACAAUACUGUUGGGUUUCGUAGUAAUUUCAAAAAAAUUCCUACGCACACGCAAGAUCAUGGUGAUGCAUAGCAACGAGAGGGGAGAGUAUGAUCUACGUACCCUUGUAGAUCGACAACGGAAGCAUUUGGAUGAUGUAGUCGUACGUCUCCACGGCCCGACUGAUCAAGCACCGAAACUAUGGCACCUCCCAGUUCUAGCACACGUUCAGCUCGAUGACGAUCCCCGGACUCCGAUCCAGCAAAGUGUCGGGGAAGAGUUCCGUCAGCACGACGGCGUGGUGACGAUCUUGAUGUACUACCAUCGCAGGGCUUCGCCUAAGCACCGCUACAAUAUUAUCGAGGACUAUGGUGGAAGGGGGCACCGCACACGGCUAAGAAUAUGAUCACGUGGAUCAACUUGUGUCUCUAGGGGGUGCCCCUGCCUCCGUAUAUAAAGGUUCAAGGGAGGGGGGCCGGCCGGCCAGGAGAGGCGCGCCAGGAGGAGUCCUACUCCUUCUGGGAGUAGGACUCCCCCCCUUUCCUAGUUGGAAUAGGAUUCAUGGAGGGGGGGAAAGAGGAGAGAGGGGAGGAAGGGGGGCCGGCCCCCUCUCCUUGUCCAAUUUGGACCAAGGGGGGGAGGGGCGCGCGGCCCAGCCCAGGCUGCCUCUUCUCUUCUUCCACUAAGGCCCACUAAGGCCCAUAUACCUCCCGGGGGGUUCCGAUAACCUCCCGGUACUCCAGUAAAAUCCCGAUUUCACCCGGAACACUUCCGAUAUCCAAACAUAGGCUUCCAAUAUAUCAAUCUUUAUGUAUCAACCAUUUCGAGACUCCUCGUCAUGUCCGUGAUCACAUCCGGGACUCCGAACAACCUUCGGUACAUCAAAAUGCAUAAACUCAUAAUAUAACUGUCAUCGUAACCUUAAGCGUGCGGACCCUACGGGUUCGAGAACAAUGUAGACAUGACCGAGACACGUCUUCGGUCAAUAACCAAUAGAGGAACCUGGAUGCUCAUAUUGGCUCCUACAUAUUCUACGAAGAUCUUUUAUCGGUCAGACCGCAUAACAACACACGUUGUUCCCUUUGUCAUCGGUAUGUUACUUGCCCGAGAUUCGAUCAUCGGUAUCCCAUACCUAGUUCAAUCUCGUUACCGGCAAGUCUCUUUACUCGUUCUGUAAUACAUCAUCCCGCAACUAACUCAUUAGUUGCAAUGCUUGCAAGGCUUAGGUGAUGUGCAUUACCGAGAGGGCCCAGAGAUACCUCUCCGACAAUCGGAGUGACAAAUCCUAAUCUCGAAAUACGCCAACCCAACAUGUACCUUUGGAGACACCUGUAGAGCUCCUUUAUAAUCACCCAGUUACGUUGUGACGUUUGGUAGCACACAAAGUGCUCCUCUGGCAAACGGGAGUUGCAUAAUCUCAUAGUCAUAGGAACAUGUAUAAGUCAUGAAGAAAGCAAAAGCAACAUACUAAACGAUCGGGUGCUAAGCUAAUGGAAUGGGUCAUGUCAAUCAGAUCAUUCAACUAAUGAUGUGAUCCCGUUAAUCAAAUGACAACUCUUUGUCCAUGGUUAGGAAACAUAACCAUCUUUGAUUAACAAGGUAGUCUAGUAGAGGCAUACUAGUGACACUCUGUUUGUCUAUGUAUUCACACAUGUAUCAUGUUUCCGGUUUAAUACAAUUCUAGCAUGAAUAAUAAACUUUUAUCAUGAUAUAUAAGGAAAUAAAUAAUAACUUUAUUAUUGCCUCUAGGGCAUAUUUGAAGAUCCAUUUAUUCUCAAUUGGUUGCCGAUCAUCGGGCAAGUCAACCAAAGUCCAUACUUUGUUUUCAUACAUGGAUCCCAUCUCAGAUUUCAUGGCUUCAAGCCACUUUGCGGAAUAUGGGCUCACCAUUGCUUCUUCAUAGUUCGUAGGUUCAUCAUGAUCUAGUAGCAUGACUUCCAGAACAGGAUUACCGUACCACUCUGGUGCGGAUCUUACUCUGGUUGAUCUACGAGGUUCAGUAGUAUCUUGUUCUGAAGUUUCAUGAUCAUUAUCAUUAGCUUCCUCACUAAUCGGUGUAGGUGUCGCAGAAACAGGUUUCUGUGAUGUACUACUUCCCAAUAAGGGAGCAGGUACAGUUACCUCGUCAAGUUCUACUUUCCUCCUACUCACUUCUUUCGAGAGAAACUCCUUCUCUAGAAAGGAUCCAUUCUUAGCAACGAAUGUCUUGCCUUUGGAUCUGUGAUAGAAGGUGUACCCAACAGUCUCCUUUGGGUAUCCUAUGAAGACACAUUUCUCCGAUUUGGGUUCGAGCUUAUCAGGUUGAAGUUUUUUCACAUAAGCAUCGCAGCCCCAAAUUUUAAGAAACGACAACUUUGGUUUCUUGCCAAACCAUAGUUCAUGAGGCGGCGUCUCAACGGAUUUUGAUGGUGCCCUAUUUAACGUGAAUGCGGUCGUCUCUAAAGCAUAACCCCAAAACGAUAGCGGUAAAUCAGUAAGAGACAUCAUAGAUCGCACCAUAUCCAGUAAAGUACGAUUACGACGUUCGGACACACCAUUACGCUGUGGUGUUCCGGGUGGCAUGAGUUGCGAAACUAUUCCGCAUUGUUUCAAAUGUACACCAAACUCGUAACUCAAAUAUUCUCCUCCACGAUCAGAUCGUAGAAACUUUAUUUUCUUGUUACGAUGAUUUUCAACUUCACUCUGAAAUUCUUUGAACUUUUCAAAUGUUUCAGACUUAUGUUUCAUUAAGUAGAUAUACCCAUAUCUGCUUAAAUCAUCUGUGAAGGUGAGAAAAUAACGAUAUCCGCCACGAGCCUCAAUAUUCAUCGGACGACAUACAUCUGUAUGUAUGAUUUCCAACAAAUCUGUUGCUCUCUCCAUAGUACUGGAGAACGGCGUUUUAGUCAUCUUGCCCAUGAGGCACGGUUCGCAAAUACCAAGUGAUUCAUAAUCAAGUGGCUCCAAAAGUCCAUCAGUAUGAAGUUUCUUCAUGCGCUUUACACCGAUAUGACCUAAACGGCAGUGCCACAAAUAAGUUGCACUCUCAUUAUCAACUCUGUAUCUUUUGGCUUCAACAAUAUGAAUAUGUGUGUUACUACUAUUGAGAUUCAUCAAAAAUAGACCACUAUUCAAAGGUGCAUGACCAUAAAAGAUAUUACUCAUAUAAAUAGAACAACCAUUAUUCUCUGAUUUAGAUGAAUAACCGUCUCGCAUCAAACAAGAUCCAGAUAUAAUGUUCAUGCUCAACGCUGGCACCAAAUAACAAUUAUUUAGGUCUAAUACUAAUCCCGAAGGUAGAUGUAGAGGUAGCGUGCCGACCGCGAUCACAUCGACUUUGGAACCGUUUCCCACGCGCAUCGUCACCUCGUCCUUUGCCAGUGUUCGCUUAAUCCGUAGUCCCUGUUUCGAGUUGCAAAUAUUAGCAACAGAACCAGUAUCAAAUACCCAGGUGCUACUGCGAGCUCUAGUAAGGUACACAUCAAUAACAUGUAUAUCACAUAUACCUUUGUUCACCUUGCCAUCCUUCUUAUCCACCAAAUACUUGGGGCAGUUCCGCUUCCAGUGACCAGUCUACUUGCAGUAGAAGCACUCAGUUUCAGGCUUAGGUCCAGACUUGGGUUUCUUCUCUUGAGUAGCAACUUGCUUGCCGUUCUUUUUAAAGUUCCCCUUCUUCUUCCCUUUGCCCUUUUUCUUGAAACUAGUGGUCUUGUUGACCAUCAACACUUGAUGCUCCUUCUUGAUUUCUACCUCUGCGGCUUUCAGCAUUGCGAAGAGCUCGGGAAUAGUCUUAUUCAUCCCUUGCAUAUUAUAGUUCAUCACGAAGCUCUUGUAGCUUGGUGGCAGUGAUUGGAGAAUUCUGUCAAUGACGCAAUCAUCUGGAAGAUUAACUCCCAUUUGAAUCAAGUGAUUAUUAUACCCAGACAUUUUGAGUAUAUGCUCACUGACAGAACUGUUCUCCUCCAUCUUGCAGCUAUAGAACUUAUUGGAGACUUCAUAUCUCUCAAUCCGGGCAUUUGCUUGAAAUAUUAACUUCAACUCCUGGAACAUCUCAUAUGCUCCAUGACGUUCAAAACGUCGUUGAAGUCCCGGUUCUAAGCCGUAAAGCAUGGCACACUGAACUAUCGAGUAGUCAUCAGCUUUGCUCUGCCAGACGUUCACAACAUCUGGUGUUGCUCCAGCAGCAGGCCUGGCACCCUGCAGUGCUUCCAGGACGUAAUUCUUCUGUGCAGCAAUGAGGAUAAUCCUCAACUUAUGGACCCAGUCCGUGUAAUUGCUACCAUCAUCUUUCAACUUUGCUUUCUCAAGGAACGCAUUAAAAUUCAACGGAACAAUAGCACGGGCCAUUUAUCUACAAUCAUACAUAAACAAGCAAGAUACUAUCAGGUACUAAGUUCAUGAUAAAUUUAGGUUCAGUUAAUCACAUUACUUAAAGAACUCCCACUUAGAUAGACAUCCCUCUAAUCAUCUAAGUGAUUACGUGAUCCAAAUCAACUAAACCAUGUCCGAUCAUCACGUGAGAUGGAGUAGUUUCAUUGGUGAACAUCACUAUGUUGAUCAUAUCUACUAUAUGAUUCACGCUCGACCUUUCGGUCUCCGUGUUCCGAGGCCAUAUCUGUAUAUGCUUGGCUCGUCAAGUAUAACCUGAGUAUUCCGCGUGUGCAACUGUUUUGCACCCGUUGUAUUUGAACGUAGAGCCUAUCACACCCGAUCAUCAUGUGGUGUCUCAGCACGAAGAACUUUCGCAACGGUGCAUACUCAGGGAGAACACUUCUUUAUAAUUUAGUGAGAGAUCAUCUUAUAAUGCUACCGUCAAUCAAAGCAAGAUAAGAUGCAUAAAAGAUAAACAUCACAUGCAAUCAAUAUAAGUGAUAUGAUAUGGCCAUCAUCAUCUUGUGCUUGUGAUCUCCAUCUCCGAAGCACCGUCAUGAUCACCAUCGUCACCGGCGCGACACCUUGAUCUCCAUCGUAGCAUCGUUGUCGUCUUGCCAAUCUUAUGCUUCCACGACUAUCGCUACCGCUUAGUGAUAAAGUAAAGCAUUACAGCGCGAUUGCAUUGCAUACAAUAAAGCGACAACCAUAUGGCUCCUGCCAGUUGCCGAUAACUCGGUUACAAAACAUGAUCAUCUCAUACAAUAAAAUUUAGCAUCAUGUCUUGACCAUAUCACAUCACAACAUGCCCUGCAAAAACAAGUUAGACGUCCUCUACUUUGUUGUUGCAUGUUUUACGUGGCUGCUACGGGCUUAAGCAAGAACCAAUCUUACCUACGCAUCAAAACCACAACGAUAGUUUGUCAAGUUGGUGCUGUUUUAACCUUCGCAAGGACCGGGCGUAGCCACACUCGGUUCAACUAAAGUUGGAGAAACUGUCACCCGCAAGCCACCUAUGUGCAAAGCACGUCGGGAGAACCGGUCUCGCGUAAGCGUACGCGUAAUGUCGGUCCGGGCCGCUUCGUCCAACAAUACCGCCGAACCAAAGUAUGACAUGCUGGUAAGUAGUAUGACUUAUAUCGCCCACAACUCACUUGUGUUCUACUCGUGCAUAUAACAUCAACAUAUAAAACCUAGGCUCGGAUGCCACUGUUGGGUUUUGUAGUAAUUUCAAAAAAAUUCCUACGCACACGCAAGAUCAUGGUGAUGCAUAGCAACGAGAGGGGAGAGUAUGAUCUACGUACCCUUGUAGAUCGACAACGGAAGCGUUUGGUUGAUGUAGUCGUACGUCUCCACGGCCCGACCGAUCAAGCACCGAAACUACGGCACCUCCGAGUUCUAGCACACGUUCAGCUCGAUGACGAUCCCCGGACUCCGAUCCAGCAAAGUGUCGGGGAAGAGUUCCAUCAGCACGACGGCGUGGUGACGAUCUUGAUGUACUACCAUUGCAGGGCUUCGCCUAAGCACCGCUACAAUAUUAUCGAGGACUAUGGUGGAAGGGGGCACCGCACACGGCUAAGAAUAUGAUCACCUGGAUCAACUUGUGUCUCUAGGGGGUGCCCCUGCCUCCGUAUAUAAAGGUUCAAGAGAGGGGGGCCGGCCGGCCAGGAGAGGCGCGCCAGGAGGAGUCCUACUCCUUUUGGGAGUAGGACUCCCCCCCUUUCCUAGUUGGAAUAGGAUUCGUGGAGGGGGGGGGAGAGGAGAGAGAGGAGGAAGGGGGGCCGGCCCCCUCUCCUUGUCCAAUUCGGACCAAGGGGGGGAGGGGCGUGCGGCCUAGCCCUGGCUGCCUCUUCUCUUCUUCCACUAAGGCCCACUAAGGCCCAUAUACCUCCCGGGGGGUUCAGGUAACCUCCCGGUACUCCGGUAAAAUCCCGAUUUCACCCGGAACACUUCCGAUAUCCAAACAUAGGCUUCCAAUAUAUCAAUCUUUAUGUCUCGACCAUUUUGAGACUCCUCGUCAUGUCUGUGAUCACAUCCGGGACUCCGAACAACCUUCGGUACAUCAAAAUGCAUAAACUCAUAAUAUAAUUGUCAUCGUAACCUUAAGCGUGCGGACCCUACGGGUUCGAGAACAAUGUAGACAUGACCGAGACACGUCUCCGGUCAAUAACCAAUAGCGGAACCUGGAUGCUCAUAUUGGCUCCUACAUAUUCUACGAAGAUCUUUUAUCGGUCAGACCGCAUAACAACAUAUGUUGUUCCCUUUGUCAUCGGUAUGUUACUUGCCCGAGAUUCGAUCGUCGAUAUCCCAUACCUAGUUCAAUCUCGUUACUGGCAAGUCUCUUUACUCGUUCUGUAAUACAUCAUCCCGCAACUAACUCAUUAGUUGCAAUGCUUGCAAGGCUUAAGUGAUGUGCAUUACCGAGAGGGCCCAGAGAUACCUCUCCGACAAUCGGAGUGACAAAUCCUAAUCUCGAAAUACGCCAACCCAACAUGUACCUUUGGAGACACCUGUAGAGCUCCUUUAUAAUCACCCAGUUACGUUGUGACGUUUGGUAGCACACAAAGUGUUCCUCUGGCAAACGGGAGUUGCAUAAUCUCAUAGUCAUAGGAACAUGUAUAAGUCAUGAAGAAAGCAAUAGCAACAUACUAAACGAUCGGGUGCUAAGCUAAUGGAAUGGGUCAUGUCAAUCAGAUCAUUCAACUAAUGAUGUGAUCCCGUUAAUCAAAUGACAACUCUUUGUCAUGGUUAGGAAACAUAACCAUCUUUGAUUAACAAGCUAGUCUAGUAGAGGCAUACUAGUGACACUCUGUUUGUCUAUGUAUUCACACAUGUAUCAUGUUUCCGGUUUAAUACAAUUCUAGCAUGAAUAAUAAACUUUUUAUCAUGAUAUAUAAGGAAAUAAAUAAUAACUUUGUUAUUGCCUCUAGGGCAUAUUUCCUUCAAAUACUUCAAGUACAAUACAUUAUUGCAUCCCUUUCAAUAAAAUCAACUUCACAAAAAUAAACACUUAACAACAAACCAAGCUAUGACAUUUUCGGAGAUCAUUUUUUAGGAUGAAUGAUCUAGAAAAUGUGAUGAAGUACUAGGAGAGUCU
rnacentral:lncRNA from 1 species